AGGAGGAACAGUUGCCUCAGCACGUCUGCGCAGCUUUCCUUGCGGCGCCCCUCCGCGUGGUCUAUGAUGGUGCAUUUUGGUCCAGUCAGGCCCGGUGUGGUCGGCCUCAUUUUGGAUUACUUCGGUGGGCUUCUCCUCGGCGUGGUUACGGUCUAGUACACCUUAGUGUGCUUUUCUCUGCAUGGUCCUUCCCAGCGUGGCUCGUCUCAGCAGCGUGGUUUUCAUCCGUGUGAUCGUCCUCUGCAUGGUUUUUCACGGUGAGGUCAUAUCAGCCAGCCACCAGCCUCAGCAUAUUUGUCCACAGUUCUUUUGGAGCUGCCUCUGCUCGGAUCACUUGAGCACUACACCUCAGUCCCGACUAGCCAUCCUCAGUGUGCUUUGCUCAACGCGAUCCUCCUCAGUGUUUGUCCUGAGCCUAGACCUCCAUGGUGAGGUCUUAUCUUGUUUCGUCAUGGUGGUCGGCGAUAUGGUCCGAUCUGCCUCAGCAAUUGGGUCACUUCCGUGUGGAUCGUUUCAGCACGGAUCACUCCAGCGCGGUCGGCUGCCUUGGCGCGAUCCACUUGGCUUCUCAGCAUUUUUUUUUAGCCUGCUGGGUUCUCUCAGUUUUUCUUCAACACGCUUCUUUUCCCUCUGUGUGAUUCUACUUGGAGAGCUUUUCUGUUCAGCUUGGUUCCCAGCGCUUCUUUUUCUCGGCAUGGUUCUCCUAGGUAUGGUUUUUUUCUCAGCGCGGGUUUCUUCUCUGAGUCAGCACGGCACAAGUCGCAAGUCCGCGUGGCCGCGCUCAUCAUAGCCUCCCCCUCCUCGCGGCAAGCACUCACGGCCAGAAGCAGAGGUGAUUCGUGCCGCGCUUUCGCGGCUGGGCUCCAUCUUCGUUUUGCCGCAGUGGCUCCGUAUUCGUUUUGCAGUUACGGCUCGGUCCUCGUUUCACGGCCGGUCCUCGUUUCACGGCCGUGGCUCAGUUCUCGUAUUUUGCGUCCACGUCCCCAUCUUUGUGGCCCAGGCUUACAGAAGCAGGGGUGGUCUUGAGGCCCUUUGAGCCCCGAGGUCGGUCGAGUCCCAAGGUGAGUGGCCUAGGACACCGGCUCAGGCCUUCGGAUUCUAAACCCCGGGCCGAGUCAGAACGCACUGGAGCUGAAACCGAAUCGGGUCUGGAGACCCCUGAGCUUUGUAGCCCGGUGUGGCCAGCACCAAGGUAGUGAGUGGAGUACGUGUUGUUAUGUGGUAGCUGUUUUAAUGCUGAGAGUGAGGGGCUCCGUUCGGAAUGUUCGCGCAUGGUGGGGGAAGGGUAUCGUGGAACUGAGGCUGGGGAAGGCUGCUUAUUCGGAGUUUUGAACCGAGUUGUGAUCUAGCUCUUGGAUCCGAGUUGGGUGUGUGUAUGUGUGGGUCUACAGUGGUUCCGAGUCUAGAGUGGAGUCACGAUUGGAAUCGGGUAGAGAUUCGGGUCUGGAGCCGACUCGGAAUUCAGGUGUGGGGGAUUGGGAACUUGGGGUGGAGGCCGCAGUGGUUGCAGUGGGUUCUUAACCUUCCUUGUGCUUUGACCCUUUAAUACAGUUACUCAUGUUGUGGUGACCUCCAACCAUAAAAUUAAUUUCAUUGCUACCUCAUAACUGCAAUGUUGCUACUGUUAUGAGUCAUUAUGUAAAUACCUGUGUUUUCCGAUGGUCUUAGGCGAUCCCUAUGAAAGGGUUGUUCAAGCCUAAAGGGGUCACGACCCACACGUUGAGACCUGCAGAGUCAGAAUCAGGUCUGAAUUGGGGGAAUAGCAGAACUGGGAGUUACCUCCAGAUUUUCAGUUGGGAUUUGAUUCUUUUCUGUGGUUUUAAAUUGAGAUCCCAGAGGCUCAGGUCUCUGUUGGGGACCAGACUGAGGGUUUCUAGUUAUAUUCAGGACCUGACUGGGCAGUACAGUAAGAAUUAAAGUUGGUUUUGAGUGUGAGCAUAAUGGUCUGAGGUAGGGAUCAGGACUGAAGUAUAAAGAGUCUGGUUUUUAACAAGUGGGAAUCACAUUUUGAGACAUGGGGUCCCAUGUGGGUCAGAGUUGAUUUAAAGGACCAAGGCCAGGGCCCAAACCUUAGUCCUCCAUUUUGUUGUUCUUGUUGGUCACAUUCCCUUUUCUGUAAAAUGGGGAGGAGUGCUUUCCGCUGUAACCUUUCUGGGCAUAAAAGGGAGUAAGUAAUUCAUAGAGGUAAAAAUAGUCUUAUCUUAAAUGAUUAAAAAGUGUAAAAUAUUUCUCAAUAGUAAUAAGGACAAAUAAUAUGCAUUUAACAAUCUUUUCUCAUACCGUGUGCCCUUUGUUAGGCACUACCAAAAAGGAACCUUUUCUGUUCUGUUCCCUAGAGCUUGCCCCACCCAGCCAUGGGCCUAAUACACAGCCAUCCUCAGGCAAUACUUGCUGAAGGAAAGCAGGCAGGCAGGAUUAACCAGAUUUCUAUGGUGUCUUAAAUGAUCCAUUUCUGCACCUGUUUUCCAGAUACUAGGAGAAAAAUUUAAAGGAUUGGAUUGCUUGAUUAUAGUUCUAUUUUAAUGUGUUACCAAACACACUGAAGAAAAAAAGUGGAUCUGUUUUGGGAUUUGUGCUCCAGCUAGAAGGAUCUUUUAAAAUUUCGAAUCAGAGCAUGUCCAAAUUCAAAUAAGGAGAGCACAAAUAAAGAAAAUUAUGAGGCACUUCCCUGGUGAACAUAGAUGAAGGUCCACUUACAGUAUUAACUAACUGAAUCCAAGAGAAUUUUGAACAACAGUUCUUAGACAAGUAGGAUUUCUCCUUGGGAUAUAAAGAUGAUCCAAUAUCAGAAACUCUAUCCGUGUAAGUCACAGUAUUAAGAGACUGCAGGAGAAAAAACAUAUGGUUUUCUCAAUAGAGGCAGAAAAUUUACAUGAUGAGGUUUGACGCCUAUGUAUGCAUUUGAGGGGGCUGGAAGGACAUUACUUAGGAAGCCAAAAACUAGAAGAGAAUUUCCCUAACUUGAUACAGUGUAUAUCCAAAUUUAACUUUUAAGUAAACUUAAAAACUAUUAUUCCUGGUAAGAUAAGGAGCAGGCCAAGGGUAUUUUCCUAGCCACCUCCUAAUAUAAGGAAAAGAAAUGGAGAUGUAAGACUUCCGUGGCAGGAAGAGCGAAACUAAUGACUUAGAGAGAAUAGUUGUAUUUGCAUUGGGGUUUGCAAACAUUUUGAUGUUACAAUCUUUGUGUACUUAAAAAAUUAUUAACUCCCCCUCCCCACAUUUAUUUAAGAUGGACUAUAUUUAUUGGUAGUUACAGUCUUAGACAUUAAAAUUAUGUGCUUAAACAUAGAGCUGUAUAAUUGUAUAUUCCAGGGAGGUCAUAUCUCUGGAAAACUCUGACUUUGUGAGAAUCAAAAUAGAGACUGCAGAUGAGUUAUGGGCGUAUUUAUUCCUCAGACCAUCUGUGACCUUUCCUGGGAGGGUCUGAGAAGGCUUCUCAGAAGUUUCUUUGGACUUUUCUUUGAAAACUGCUGAACUACCUGAAAGAUAAGGUUUUGCAGCAAAAGAAUUAUUUGGGUAUAUACAGUAUACCCAAACAAACAAAUUUUUAAAACCCCACAUUUCUUUAUAACAAUAGUGAUGUAAAAGAUGUAAGAAGUGCACUCAGAUACAAAUUAGAAUAGCAACGAGAUUGUCUGGUCUUUUUUUAAGACAGUGUUUUUGGGAAAACUGUAAAUUCCCAUUGGAGAUAAAGGAAGGUAUUUGGAUGUGCAGAGACAUUUGUUUUCUUGGAAAAUUUAGCGUUAGAAUCCUCAGUAUUUUGCAAAUCUGUAAAUUUAGUUAGAUUGCAGUCAGACUUCUAGCUGGAGGAUUUAACAUCUCUUCCUCAAAAAUGUAUGUGAAAGAGAAAGAUGUACAAAUGCCAAGUGAACUUUGAAAAACAUUCCAUGGCUUAGCAGCCAGAAGGGUGGAGUGACAGAGACCCAGAACAGAGCUCAGUGAGCUCAGCCCCGAGUCUGGGGAAGGUGACAUGUGAUCAAAGUGGCACCACAUAUCAGUGGAACCUCCUUGGAAGAUGUUAAAAAACAAGUAAAAGAGAAACAUCCUGUGAACUCAGAGUCCUUAGAAAGGGGGAGCUCCAAACUGUAAGUAAAAGGUAGUUGCUAUUUAUUAAGAAAAACUACAGAGAAUAUUUUCUAGGGUAGGGUGGAAGUCUUAAGUAGGAUAAAUCUCAAGACUCAAAUUUAUGAACUUGAAUAGGUGCAAAAAUUAAGGAUUUCUAUGAACCAAAUCCAUCAUGGCCAGUGCCACUAGUUCCAUAAUUGAAAGACAUGAUUUGCCUUUUUAUCCCUUCUCAUGCAAAGUUCUGCCCAUGACAAAUUACAAGAUAACCAGAACACUAAAACCAGGGAGCAGCAGCUGAGACGACGAGAAAGCAAAUCAGAGGAAAAGGUAAGACAAGAAACUCGCAGGAGGGUUACCAGUGAAGAUAUGCUCAAACUGAAGUCACCAGAGAAAUGCAAAUCAAAGUGACAUUUAUUUUUCUUCUGAGAACCCUUAGAAAGUAGGAUAAUGCCAAGUGUUGGCAGAAGGUAGGGAGCGAGACUCCCCGCCUGCCGCAGGUGAGAGGGGAGACCGACACAGACAUUCUGGAAAGCUGGCCAGCAUUUUUUUUCCUCAAAUAAAAUAUUUUAUACCUGCGGCGCAACAGUUUCCCUCCUGAGUAAACAUGCUGGAGCAGUUCUCCCCCAGAACAAGGAGAGGCUGUGUGUGCCUGCUCAGCACAGCAUGGCCUGGGGGUGGUGGGGUGGUGGGCAUUUGGCUCUGGUUGCUGUGGUUAGAAGCAGGGGACUAGAUGUACACUUCACAAGAUGGAGACACAUGGAAACGGUGCUGAGUGACACAGACAGCAAACAGAAGGAGGGUUUCAGUCCCUGCCUUGGUGUUUAAAUUCAAAUUACACCCCUCCCAGACCUGCGCUAACUGGGCAUACUGUCCAUACGUACAAUGAUAUUAAUAAGCUACUCCAGAGCAGCUGUCUGAGUGGAAGGGAGUGGGGGUUACAGGAUGGAGAUAGGAUGCAAAAGCAUGGAAGGAGCAGAGUGGUCCUUUUAAACAGACCCUUUCACAGUAACAAUUUUAUGGGCAGAAGGCUGUGAUUUACUCUGUGUGUUAUGCACCAGGACCCAAGAGCCAAGUAUGAAGAAGUGAAUGUGCACCCAUCACUCACCUGCCAGAUACCCUCUGUAGACUCCUAUUUCUAGGAACAUCAGCUUUUUACAAGGUUGGCUUGCCCUGAGCUCUGACCAUUUCUUCUUCUCUUGCUGAGCUUGGGCCUCAGCAGCAUUCUUUGUGCACACGUGUUCUAGGUGCAUGCAUGGGUGGGGUCCAGAGGUCAAUGCUAGGUAUCUUCCUCUAUCACUCUCCACUUUCUUUUUUAUAGACAGGAGCUCUCACUGAACCUGGAGCCCACCAUUUUGUUUUGACUGGCUGGCCAGUGAGUCCCCUGGGAUCUUACUUAGUGUCUAUAACCUAGAACCCCAGUCAUGUGCUGCCAGACCUGGAUUUUAUGUGUGUGCUUGGGAUCUGAGCUCAGGUUCUCAUGAUUUCCAGCAAUCACGAUUCCCAGUAAGUACUGUAGCUACUGAACCAUCUCCCCAGCCCAAUAUCAACAUUUUUUUUUUUAUUAUUAUUAUAUCAGCAAAGUAUUCCUCCCGCUUCAGGGUCUUAAGGUUAGCCACUCUGCCUGACUUUUAUUUUCCUGUAAUUCUCAUAUCUCACUGCAAGUGCCUUUUCUAACCUGCCAUAUCAAUUAGUCUCCUCAGCUAAUUGCUACCUCAGUCUCAGAAGCAUGGGCUACACUGUGGUAUUCUUGUUCCUUGGGCGUGUCCACUUAAGUUAGCUGCCUGUCUCCUCCACUAGAAGGGAGGUCCUGGGUGAGCGUGUGUGUCUUCUCUGUAGGGUUAGCACUCUGUAGGCAUCUCACACAUUUCUGGUCAGUGGCUUCAUUGAUUUGUUAAAUGAAAGGAAAGAGCAGGCCAGGAAAGUGUUCUUCCACUUUCAGAAUUCAGUGAGAAAGUAAGUGGUGAAGAUUUCUUAACUGCCACCUUGGUGUUAUUUGGUGAAGGAUGGGGGUUGAGGGGAGAGGGGUGCUCUGUGUUGUAGUAUGUUUCACAGCCUAAAUGGCAUUUACCUAGUCCAAGUAGUCCCCUCACAGUUGUGAUAACAAAACCUGCCUCCCAAGGUUACCACAUAGCUCUUGGGGUGGGGGUGGGGGGGCACUCCCUGCCAGGUCUGCCUUAGACUAGUUGCAAGGAGCUAGAAAGCCUUUCAGCUUUAAACACAGGGUCCUUUAAACACAGCGGACCCUGGCCUUUAUCCUGCAAUGCACUAAAUCCAUGCCCUUAUGGUCCCUAUGAAGACGACCCUGGCCUAUGCCUGUAUAAUAGAAGCACCUCCAUCUCUGCUCAUUGGUGUAAAUAUAUUUUGACAGGUAAUCCUGUCCUCACAAUGCAUGGGGUUCCAUUAAAAUCUUUACAACAUUCUUAAAACAAAUCAACAAACAAACAGAACCCUACUUAUUGUUAUGUUGAUGAAUGUCUUGUCUGCAUGCAUGUAUGUAUACCAUGCAUGUGCCUGGCAUCCCCGAGGACAGAAGGAAGGAUCAAUCCCCUGGAAACUGGAGUUUCAGAGGGUUGUAAGCCGCCACAUGGGUGCUGAGAGACAAAUGUAGGUUCUUUCUACAAGAGCAGUGAGUAUUCUUAGCCACCGAGAUAUCCCUAACCCCGGUUACAACCAUCCUUUAGCUGCAGUGCCUCAGUUGUGAGGCAUUGGCACCUGCAGCUUUACCAGUUUGGAGCCGGCCUGGAAAGAGGCUGGGUUGGGUCUUCUCACAGCUGCCAGUUAGUACAGACUAGUAAGUGGCUCUUGUGAACAAUAGAUCCAGAAGUUUACAGUACACUUAGGAGGAGAAGAGGGUUUGCCUCAGAGAAGGCUGCUUGGGAGAGUAAGUGGGUGGCCUCUAAUACUGGGUUUCCUUUCCCUGUGCUUGCCUCUGAUAUCAGCCUUUGCCAUGGUCCUCUAUGCUGCCUGGCCCCAGAAAGUCUGGGUCAGUGGCCAGAGUCCAGACUCCCAGGGUCCUGAUCAGAGUCUUCAGGAAGGCCUGAGAGAUUAGAGCACAGAACUCUCCUAGCCUCUCCCACUGGGAACUGAAAGCUUCCCUGAGCCUUUCCUAGGGACUGAGACCCUUGUUUGCAAUUUAAAUGUGCCCUCCUUUAUGGAAGAAUCCCAGCUCCUUGAAGAGCCUUGAGCUCACCCUCCCUAGCAGUUGUAGCCUUAGCCAGGGGAAGAAACUGAUCUAAUGGGCCUUUCUCCUAAUAAUGCUAAUUGUGGCAAUUAGGCUCUGCAAUAGAGAAGGGGCAGGGCCAGGCCCACUAGUUUGCCCUUAGCUCAAAUCCAGGCCUUCUUACUCAGGCUGCUGUCCAGGUUAACUAAGCCUGGUGAAGGUACUAAAUAAGCAGAGGUUCAGCAGAGGGUGGUUGAAGCCUGCUGGCUUCCAGGGGCAAUCACAGUGGAUAUGGAUCUGAGUCUAAUGUUCAGUCUAGUAUUCAUACAGGUGACUCUGGGCCUUGCCAUGUGAUCCUCCCAGAAGAGGGUCUAACUGGAGCAUAAAGAUGGUUUGAAUUAAUCAAUAGACCAAUAUCUACCCUUUCCUUUCUCUCUCUCUCUCUCUCUCUCUCUCUUUCUCUCUCUCUCUCUCUCUCUCUCUCUCUCUCUGUGUGUGUGUGCACGCGCGCGCGCGGCGCGCGUGAGAGAGAAAGAGAGAGAGGGGGAGAGAGAGGGAGAGGGUGAGGGUGAGGGCGAGGGCAAAGGUGAGCAGGGGAGGGGGAAAGAAAGAAGAGUGAGCAGGGGACCAUGGAUAAGGGCUUAUCUGGUCUGGCAGGAAGUUAGGUUUUGAAGCAUAUGGCUCUAUGGAUUAAGAAACCAUUCCUCAGUAUGGCCAAUUAGUAGAUCUAAUCCCCUCAACCUCCUAACAUAUACUAAAGGAUCAAUGUUUCUUCACUCUGCAGGGUCUUGCUUACAAAGCACUCUGGGUCCUGUUCUCUCUGGGAGCUGGGAAUCUGGUCUAAUGAAAGGAAACACAGCACAGGCAUAGGCAGCCUGAAUGCUUAGUUAUUCAAAGGUUACACCGUAGCUGACUUUGAAUCAGUAUAUAGCGUCUGCACGGUACGGAGACUUUCCAGGAAGUGAAUUAUGUGUAGGAGGCAGGGAAGUGAUUAUUGCUCCAUUUUAUAGACUCAGCCAUUCCACACAUACUUGUUGAAAGUCCACCAUGCAUCGCACAGCUGUCUCGAGGAGGGAUUUUACAGGAGUCAGGUCACGCCUGUCCUAUGGUGCUUGUGUGUUGUUAUACACUGAAGGGAAUAUUCUUUGAGGUCUGGAGAUAUAGAGAAAGGACUAUUAGGAACCAGCCAGAACCCAUCUGGGAUCCUAGUUAGGCACUAAGACCAAGAGGACACUGUGGAGGAGGGAACACGAGAGAAAGAAGCUAGCUUUCUAAACCUGGGUACAGAUCUUCAGUCCUUGCUUCCUGUGAGGAUCUUGGGUUUGUUCUGAGACCACUGAGAGCUGCUAAGGCUCUAAGUUCCCAUUCCAUUUAGAUCCCAUUCCACUCAGGGAACUAAGUGGAAUCCACAUUUUAAAAGGCUCUUCCUCCUGAGUGGAGGGGAAUGGAGGUUAUCAGAAGGUGUUGUGGCCUCCCAGAGGAGUGACAAUACAAAAGGAGGGAAUGGGUAGAGGGGGUAAGCAGCCUGGCUUGGUAGUGGACUAGUUGGGUCUCAGCUAGGAAAGAAGGCGUUGGAAGUGAUUGCAGGGUUUCAGGUUUACACUACUGGAAGAAUUUUUGUUUGGGGUGGAGCAUGAGUUGGAGGAGUGGAGUAUGAGGUGACAGAUAUGGUGGGUCCAGCUAUUGGAAAGCUAGUUUUUGUCAGUCCAGGAGCUCCUGAUGCUGAGGGAAGGGACCAGCGUAGGGAAAGAAGGGCAGCACUACUUAGUGGGUGUGAAACUGGGUGCAGAGCUAGCAUGGUGACCGGGGAUAGAUGGACAGGAAAGAGGAACCCAUUCUUGCAGAGGUCAUGUGGAGUCAAUGUUCUAGUCUUAUGAGGGUUGGCAGUGGACAGCAACCAGCCUAGAAUGUGCCUCCUGCCAGUAUGACUAUGACACUUGCCUUCCUCUGUGACUAGAGAGAAGGCCUUAUUUCUCAGUGGUUCUGUUUUCUCUCUGCAUUCCUAGAAUCAAGAGUAGCAAAAGAACAUUUCUCCAUAGAAUGUGCAGGGAGGGUCACCUCCCUCAGGAGGCCUCGUCCUUGCUAAAGUAUUUCAUAAUCUUGGAACGAUGGAAAAUCCUUCUACCCAUUUUAAUGCAAAGCCGGGCAAGCUUUAAAAAAAAAAAAAACAAAAAACAAACAAAUGGCCUUGAAUAGGCUGAGAUGAAAAGCAAAGAGGUUGCCAACGCUAGAGACUGGGGGAGGGGUGUGCAGUGGGCAGGGAGAUUUUGGGAGGCUCCAAAGUUAGCAGUUUCUGAGCUUUACUGCUCAAACCUAGAGGCCCAAACCAAACAGAGCAGGUCCAGGGUUCAAGGUGCAAGGGGGCAACAGCCCUGUGUGGAAGAUGUCUCUUUCUUGUCAUUGUUCCUGAUUAGCUGUUCAAACAGCCUUCACAGGUUCUGCAAAAAAAAUGGUUAACUGUGGGUCCUCUAUAUCUUCUACUUGGUAAUUUUUAAACACAGCUGAGCCCCGGGUGCCCCUCCCAGAGGCUCAGAGGCCAGAGGCCAGAGGUCAGCACAAACUCUACACCACGUCUGCCUAGCCUUUACCUCAUGUGUCUAGGAAUGAUGUACAUUAGAGUAGAGGCUCUGAUACCUCCCUCGCUCAGGUGCCAGAUCAAGGCUUCAUCCUCUGCCCUUUGCCCAGGGUUUAGUGGGGUUUGCUAAUAUUACUUAAUUCCUGAAUGAACCUUUCAGGUCAGCAUAAAAGAGCUGGGAUUGUAUGGCAAAACCCGGAUGGGGAAGAUGGCUCAGACUGUUAAAAACAAGCUCCCAGCAGUGGGAGGGAAGCACCCCCUCCUUGAGGCCUGAGGUCAGUGUUCCCAUUAAUCCUUCUGCCAAGGGAUAUGUACCUAAAGGUUCUAGGGUCACACCCUAUCGGGACUAGCCAUUCGGGACUUCUGAGAAAUGGCAUUUGAUAGCUACAUGUACUGCCACAACUGUACACAACCAAGUCACACACAUUCAUCCUGUUCCCAGCCAGGGCCCAAGACUGAGUCUCAUUCCCGUUUUACCUCCUCUUAGCCUGGGUGCCUCUACCUUGUAAUAGAUGCUGAGGCCUACUUAGACCCCAUGACUGUGCCUGACAACCAAAGAAGCCCACCUUCUGGUGUCACCCACCUCACCCUAGCUCUCUGUGAUUCCAGCUUUUCUAAGGAAGGCAGGUAGCCUCUCAACCAGUCAUAUGCCCCAUGCCAGACAGUCAUGCCAGCCGCUCCAGUGCUCGUUAACUACCUUUAGGCCUUGUGGACUUCAUGUUCUAUGGAUGCGAUUUAGUACUCCCAAGAGCACCACAAGAAAGGGGAUAGCAAGCAAGAAGAAACUCAGCCACAUAGAAGGACUUGUUUGAGGCCACUGGGUGCCUGACAAGAGUCCUGCCUCUGGGGAAACCAGUGCUCCAUGCCUGUAACCUUGACAGAGUGCUCUUGGAUUUAUGUUUUCAUAGAAGCAGUCUGUGGAGGGCUAGAGAGGCAGCCCCUGUUUUCCUGGGUCCCUGCUUGGGAAGUCACAGCUAUCACUGUUGAGAAAGGCAGCCCAGGUUUGGAGCAGUUGGAGGCUAUCCCAAGAGUAGGUUGGAUGUAGAGGUGUGGGUGCGUAUAAAUGCCAUCCUGGGUAAAUGGAAAGGCCACAGGCCACCGUGAUAAGGUACCACUUCCUCUUCCUGCCUGGUGGGCUGCUUCAGUACCAAAAUGUCCGGCCACUAACUUGGUAUAAACAAAUGGGUGUGAUCCAAAUGCAAAGAACAGAUGCCCUUAGCCCCCACUCCUCCUGCCCUGAUUUUCCUCAGUGGGCUGUAUGUCUCCUCUCCAUUCUGUUUCUAAGACCACCUAAACAUCAAGAAUCUGGAAAAUAGCCGCUACAGCAAAUGUUUAUAUUCUUCUUGGUUUGUCAUUCAUUCUGUUCCUCCCAGAGAGGCCUAAAUGCUGAGAUACUGGGCAGAGGGCAAGGAACAGUACUGCCCUCUCCAGAGGCUGCCAAGAGACAAGGCUGUAGUUGUAGUCUUUAGGGCCAUCAGCCCUACAUGAUGCUGUCCUCCUCAUUCCCUUUUUCCUAUGGGUGGGCUUCUUCCCAUGGGCCACUUCUACCCAAAGCCAUGUGAAAGGCCUUAAGUUCUAGAGGGAUAACCUGAGGGUGGCACUGAGUUGCAGGGUGCAAUGAGAGAUUAUUGCAAGGCUGGUAGAACCCUCCAUCUGCAGGGCUGACUUCAAAGCUGCUGCUGGGCUUAGCCUGCUGCAUCAAAGUCAGCCAGUUAAACAGUUUUCACAUAAAAGGGAGAGUGGAGGGUUUAAAAGCCUUCCCGUGAAGACAGGCAGGCAUUCCACCCUCUUCUCAGGCACAAGAGCCACUAGAGGAGAAAGUAACUGCCCCUUAAAGACACAGAAAUCACCUUACACCCUGGUUUAGGGUUUGAAGACUACAGCCUUAGGUACAAGCGUAGUGAGGCACCUGUGUGGAGGGAUCCUCCAUUUGCAUUCAGCUCCCUGCUUUAUAUCUGGCCUUGUAUUUUGCUUCCCUACCUCCAGCACCUAUGUUUUUGGGGUGGGGGUGGGGGCAGGCUAUCUGGCUGUCGGGAAUAAGGAGAUGUAUGGUAUGACAGCCCUGAGGGAACUCAGAGUCAGGCUGCUCAGGUUGGAUUCUAGCUUUUAGUCUAAACAAUGGCUUUAUACAGUGCCUUUCUUCCAGUCCUAGCAGCCUUGUGUGAAUACAUUUAGAGGAGACCCUCGUUCAGCCUCCCCAAGAACUCUCUGGGAAGAUCCAGGAGACUCUACCUUGCUCUCUGUCUCCCCACUUCUGCCUUCCUCUUUGCCCCCCCUCCCCCCACCGUUGGGUCCCUUGCCUGACUCCAGUAUACUGUGAUGGCAGAAGUGCCAAUGUCUCCUCUCAAGCAGAGCCUAACCCAGCUUGUGCCUUGCAGAGUGCAGAGGGGUGCUCACCCUGCCCUCCUUCAGGGAGACAUCAAAGGGAAACUGGAAGCAUUCCCUGCUGACCCCCAGUGAGUGGGAGAAAAGCAGCAGCUUGGCUCAGCUGGCUGGGCUGGGGAUUUUCCAUCCUACCAACAAUAUCCACAGGAUAGAUACCCCACUCUGGCUUUUGAGGAACCAGGAACCCUCAGGAACCAGUGUUUGAUUUGCAGCCUGAUGGUGCCAUGAAGGGCUCAUUGGCAUUGGGGCAUGGCUAGCCACUUGAGGAGUUCCCUAUCCUCAUGACGUGCUGACGACUGGUUUGAAAUCUUAGCAUUUCUCACCCUAGCAGAAUACUACCUCGAGGUCCCCUGAGAUCUAGCUAGCCAGGGGAGAUCACAAUUUGUGUGGGGACCCAAGAAAGGUAGAGAGAAGACUGCCUGCCUUUUCUCUAUCAGCUGCUUAUCCCCCAGGCCUUUUGUGGAGUGCACACUCCAGCCUCCGUAGCAGCUCAGCACAGCCCAGGCUAUCCUAGACUGUCCCAAGUCCUCAAGGGUUUCAGCACCUCCCAAGCUAAGGGAACAGGAAGUCCAGAAAUAGAAGUCAACAUUUAUGCUAAACCAGGGUACCCUCCCCCCUUUGACUAACAUGGGCUUUUGGCAGCUUCUGGCUCUCAGAUCUCCAUGCACAAUUUGUAGGCUAAAUACUCUACACUACUCAGGAUAUCUAAUCCUGUCCCUCAAGAGUUAGACUGUCAGGUUUUUCUGAGUCACAGCAACCUUAGGCCUGGUAAGUCAUAGUGAGCAUGUUUCCCUCUUCAGCCUAGAACUCACAGGAUGGGCCAAAGAGAAUGCAGUAUGGUUUCAAGGAUGUCCAGGGCCAGCAGCACUACCUGAUGAGAUGAGACGAGAUGCUUGCCUGCUCCAUCCUGUCAGGGUCUGGUCACACAACUAGGCUGGAGCAGGCUUAGAGGGCAGGAUUAGACAUAGUGAGAUCCAACAAAGGCAUAGAAAAUAUCAGAAGUGAGAUAGCAAGCCAGGCCUUAGGCUUGUGCUUCCUGUGUUCCUGUCAACGCUGCCCUACUCUAUGAUUAUGGAAAAAGUAGGAAAAAAAUCUUUAGAGAAACCUAAGUACCAAUGUGGCUUUUGUAGCAGACUGAAUUGUGGGAGGCCCUGGUGAAGACAUAUUGAGCUUUGACAUGUGAUUGUGCCUUAGCUGAGGUCUUCUCUCAGCCAAAGCAAGGACUCAGUUGGGUCCCGACUCCCACAAGGCUAUCUUCAAGUACUGUUUGUUCUACAGAUGGAGGUGGGGGGCUGUUUCUCAUUUCUGCCAAAGUCACUUAAGGGACACAGAGAAGGUAGACCUGUUGCUUUUCUAGUACCUAGAAGUGGAAAGGUGGAGGUUGGUCAGAAAGCCACAUUUUGCUUCUCAUUCCCACAUGAAAAAAGAUGGCGCUGGGGGGUUUACCCAUCUGUUCCUCUAUAUCUUGUCUUUGGCUGGCCUAGGCCCUUAUCUCACCACAUGCCACUCCGAAGAGAGACGGAAAUGACAAGAGUGGGCUAAACUAUUUGGACUGGGUAAAGUCAAUAAUAGACAGUGCCCGAUUAAGAACUGGGAGGACCAUGUCUUCCUAAGUCUCAUGGUAUGCUCCAUUCUUCAAGGGGAGCCAUUCCCGUAAGAGCUGGUGUGACAGAUUUGAAGUGGCUGUGCCAGCUAGUGAGUCUUUUCCUCUGAACCAUGUAGUGAUAGGCAAGGCAAGUUGACAAGGAAGUUCUUUCCAAUUCGAAGAAGCCAAGGCAGUCAUCAAGCUUUGUCUUACCAGGAAAACGUCAGUGUAUAUCGUUGGCUGUCUGGCUUAGAAGAGGCAACUGUGAAUGAUGGCCAGAGAGAAUCACCUAACACAAUCUGGUUAUGAACACAUUUGGGCCAUGGAGCGAGAGGCUAGCCCUGGAGGCCUAGUGGAUCCACAAGAACCCAGAGAGAGAACAAAGAGGCUCAGGGUCUUAGAGGCUUCUGAUCCACACAGAGAGAGUCAGGAAAGUUAUUAGAGGUGUUCCUUCAGCUAUGGGAACAACAUCUGAGAUGCUGGUACUCCAGGGCAGUGUGUGUGCUGCUGGAUAGCAGGAAGGUUUCUACUGAUGCCUGAGGCUUGCUCUAGCUCAUAAAUCUCCACUUCUCCUUAGCACUGUGAAAUGUUUACUCUGAACUAAGCCUCUGCUUUAACAAGUCAUGUUUCAAUAGGAAAACCUUCGUUGAUGGAAUCGAAUGCAAUUCCUCCUCCUCCUCCACGACAGUUACCCAUUCCUAAGAAAAGCACAGCAUUUUAGCAAGCACCCAGGGCCUCAGGAACUAGCAUUUGCAGACAGUAGUGUGGCAGAUAUGAUGGCCUCAUGUGCAUCAAGGAGAAUCUGGCCUCUAUGUGCCUGGUCUUGCCAGUCCUUCAGACUGACAGUUCUGGAGUGCUCCAUCCUUCACUUCCAGCCCCAUUAUCCAUAGAAGCCUUCAGUGGGAACUCUCAGACUUGGUGCUGGUUCAUUCCUAAGACUGGCCUGUUGCUGUGCUUUGGAGUUAGCCUAGCUAGUCCUACCCAGUGCUGAGGGUAUACAUACACACACACAUGUGGCAUGAUCUACCAGCCCUAAGGCAACAGUGUGUUUUCUUUAAACAGUAGAGUAGGUUUCCUGUAUGUACCUAGCUGCCAGAGGUUGCUGCUGUGACCUAGAAAUAGCUGCUGCCCCAAGCCUUGAUCCACAGGUUUUUUUUUUUUAAAGAUUUAUUUUUAUUUUAUGUGUAUUAGUGUUUGCCCACAUGUAUGUCUGUGUAUAACAUGCAUACAUGGAACCCACAGAGGCCAGGAAAGGGCACCAGAGCCCCUGGAACUGGAGUUACAUAUUCACAAAACCAAGAUGGUUCCUUCCAUGUGAAACCCUUCUAAGAGAAUCAUCAAAAAUUACUGUAUUUCAUUGGUGCCUACAUUUCUAGAACAGCAGGCAGAAAGGGGUGCAUUGUAGAGAAUGGUGAUAAGAUAGCUUCUGGAGAACUCUGGGGCCCCAGGCCCCAUGGAUAGAACCCUGCCAGGGAGCUUUGAAGCUGUACCGUCCCUUCAAGAUGUUCCUGGCAGGCGGAUUUCUGAGUUUGAGGCCAGCCUGGUCUAUAGAGUGAGUUCCAGGACAGCCAGAGCUACACAGAGAAACCCUGUCUCAAAAAAAAAAAGAUGUUCCUGGCAUUAACAGGGUCCAAAGCAGCCUUCCCAGCCCCAGGCUGGGUCCUAGGAGAACCUAACUGAUUGCAUGGGAAACCUCAGUCAUUUACAUAUUCAUUUAUUUAUUUCUUCAUCAAACAUUCACUGAAGGUUCCUGAUGUGCUCUGAGUAGAUUAAGCACAGAAUAUAAAACACUGAAUGGAAGUGGUCAGUAUCUGCCCUCAUGGACCUUGAAUGGAAUUGACAGAGAAAGUCAGUAAACUUGUUACCACAAACAUGCGGUUAUACAUUAAAAAUGAGGGAUGGGGGUGCAGUUCUCCAUGGUUCAGUCUGAAGCUGAGAAAUAGCCUAGGCACGUUUCAGCCUAAAAUCAGCCCUAGCUUGUGAAGGUGAAAGUCAGAGGAGAGCUUAGCACGUUUAAAGAUGACGCCAAGAGAAUGUUACAGGAGCUGGGCACCUUCGGCAGAUCGACUAUUCCCUGGCUUUGUGACCUGGGCCCCAGACUUGAUCACUCUAGUUUCAGUUUAUCUCUAAAUCAGAAAUGGUAGAUAGUAUUCAUAUGUCAGAAGCUGCCGUGAGGAUUAGUGAAGUUAUAUGUAUAAAGCCCUCAGCAUAAUGCCUGAGAACUCUUAAGUAGUAUUAGCUCAGGAUUAUUCUUUAGACUGACAUUGUGCUCGGAGUGAGCAUGUUUUCUCCUUAAACACUAGAGUGGUGGUUCUUUUGAAAUACCCAGUUGGUAAAAUCGGGACUCUCCUGUUACUCCUGCCCCUAGGACUCCUUCUGGAUGCAUGGGCAAGCUCUAGUGAGGCCUAGUACUCAGAAGAAAAGAGAAGGCUUUCCUCUACCCAUGCUCAGGAUGUUGUAGAGUUUUCUGGCUUCUUUCGGCUCCAGGAGCCUGUGUCUGUCAUAGAACAGCUUGGCUCAGCCUAGAACCGGCACUCAGAGCUACCUUUUGGAGAUGAGUACAUUGUAUAUGUAUGCAUGUCCAUCAUUUGUGUACACAUUUAUUUGUAGGGCACAGCUAAAAAUCUCCAGAAAUAUCCUGGGGAAGAUAAAAUUCUUUCUAGGCUUCAUGGUAUCCUAGUGGGGACCACCAAAGCCUAACUUCCUACCCAGAGUCUGAGGAUGGUAAGGUCAACUGGUUCCAUUGUUUCCAGAGCGCUCACAGAAAUCGCCAAUCUUUAUCUGAGUUAGCUUAGCCCCACGAGCCUUCACAUGGGGGUGAAGAAUGAGUUAUACAACUAGGGGUCCCAGGGUUGGAGAGACAGACAAAACAGAGGAGAAUGGUUUGUCCUGGAACUCACAGAAGAGAGCAUCCUGCUUCUGCCUCCUAAGUGCUAGGUCUGCAUCUAGUCUACCUUCUGUCAAAGCUAGUGGGCUUCUUUCUAGCCUCCCACCUUCCCUUAACAUAAUAUAAAAGCACAUUCCUUGGAAUCCUUGGAAUCCACCCGUCCCCCAGCAUUGAGAAUAGAAUUAUAGAAUUUUCUCUUUCUCUCUCUCUCUCUCUUUGUAUGUGUAUGUAUAUGUGUAUGUGUAUGUAUACACACACGUUCUUAAUGACAUUUUCUAAAAUACUGUUGUAAAGUCUUGAAGUAAAAAUUCCACUGGUAGUGGGGCCACAGCGAGAAGAAAAAAAAUUCCAUUGGUGUGUUAAUCUGACAGUGCUACAUAAUAAAAGAACACACAUCUAACAAACCUAUGAUGGCUAAUAUAAAACUCUUACAUAUUAGCCAAGAAGGUCUGGCAGUUUAAAAAAAUGUAUAGACCUGAAUUAAGAUCAUAGCAGGAUGCAAAAACAUAUACAACCUGGGUGAGCCUCAGAGGUGGGCAGACGGAGGGCUUCAUUUUCUUUUAAAGAUGGCAUGCUGCUUGGCUCAAUUCAUGUAACAUUGCUAUAAUGCCAUGUGUGGCAGUAUAUGCCUUUAAUCCCAGCAUUCAGGGGCAGGGGCAGGGGCAGGGGCAGGUGAAUCUCUGAGUUUCAGUCAGGGUAUAUAAUGAAACCUUGACUCAAAGGAACAAACAAAUUUCAGUGACGUACAGGCUAGUAAUUGCCAGGGGAUCAGGAAAGUAGGGCUGGAAAGCCUGAGGUACCAUAAAGUGGCUGUACAUAGGGGCCCUUGAGGCCACAGAAACAUUCUGCAUUGGUACUGUACCCUAAGCUUGAUACGUUUCUAUAGUUCUAAGUAUGUUGCUGGAGGAAACUGGUCAAAGAGUAUAGGGAAUCUCUUUGCUAUUGUUUACAGGCAUAUGUCAAUCUGUGGUUACCUUAGAAUGGAGUGCUUAAAAAGUUACAUCUCGCUUAAGUCAGUAGUACACUUAAAGAUACCAAGAGGUGAAUUAAAAAAUGUAAGAGGAAGAUAGGUGGGUGGGUAAAGAGUUAAACAAUAUAGAGACUUUCUAGUUCACUUGAGCAUUGGGAACAGCGACUUCUCCUUAUGAAUGGACGUUUUCUAUUUACCAAGGUGAUUCUUCUUUCAUCUAAAAUAUCAGCACAAUAAGGAAGGUUACACACAGGUGAGUUAUGCUAAGUCUUGUGGAAAAUGUGGCAUGUCCCAUGUUUCUGAAGCACCUGGAGCCACCCCUGUACCUCUGUAGUCUGACCUCACCCCUACCCCCUCAUCAUGGUAGGGCGAUUCUUCUGUCAAGGUGAGAAAGGCAAUGAUUUCUAAGAUUAUGCUCCCAUUCUGAAUAACCAUAAGGGGCUGCAUCUGCCUUGCUUCUGACACUGAUGCUAUUCAACCAGACUUCCCUCUCCACGGCCUUGCCAAGCAUGGAGAAUGUGGGUUGUAGGUGAUGAAAGGUAAGCUGAUGCCUUGUGAUGGAAAAUGCAUUUAAGGAGCACAGCAGACAACCCAUGUCGAACACCUUUCUACAUGGUUCCAUAUUAAUACAUUUCACCUCUGAACAACUCAGGAAGAAUGUUCUUUUAGUAUGAUUUUAUAGACCGAAGGUCUAGAAUGAAGGAAGAAGUGGUGAAGCCUGGAUUAAAAUUUGGUUUAUAGCUUCAGGACCUGCUUUUUGACCAUGUAACAUUUUAGUUGCACAUCCUGAAAUAGAAGCACCAAUCAAGUAGUGGGUGUGGCAUUCCUCCCAGCCAUGGACAAGGUUGGAAAAACAUAAUUGUCCCUGGUGGCCCAGCUGAGAAAGGGACUGAGUCCUUGCUUUACAGAUCAUGCUGUGGAGCCAUUUUUACCUGUAUAGAUUAUAAUAGCACUGUCUGGUGCACCCCCUCCUUUUGGUGACAGAAUUUAGGGGAGAGACUGGGCUAUAUGUUAAGAUUAUGGUACUUUUAAAAGUUUUUUUGGGGGGGGCGGGAAGGGCAAUUUCUAGGGACUGAACCCAGGGCCUCCCACAUGCUAGCUAAGUGUGCUGAACUCUACUUGUACUCAAAACCCAAAAGACAAAACCUCUAACCCUUUGCCUUGAAUUACACAUUGUUCUCCUGUUUUCUCCGAAUGUGAUAAAUUGUCUUACGAUGGCCCUAAAGCAUGAUUAGAUAUGUACCCAGAUGGCUCCUGUGUCUGGCCAUAACAUACUCUUUGGAUGUUGCCUUAUGAGGGAGCCUCUAAGAUAAGUUCUCAUGGUCCCUGAACAUGGUUAGCUAUUGAGGACUAAGUCAGGAGUUAAGGAUGUGUGUCACUCAUAGCCAUAGCCAUGCUUAGCUCACAGGCCAGUCUGGGAGCCACUCACUAGUUGAUACAUUGUGAAUGAACACUUCAUGCCACCUGGGUUUUGAUAAUGUACGAAGAAGCCAUGACACACAGAAGGACAUCUCAUAAAGUUAUAUAAUAACACCAGCAGGACCAGUAUAGUUCUAAGUAGAGCCUGGAAACAGACACAAAAUCAGGAAAUACAAUCAAGAUAGCUGUUAAAACCAGCAGAGCAAAGAUGUAAGUUUAGUGUUGAAACAACCAUAUAACUGUGGAAAAUAAGUCGGCUUUUUAACUAUUCCAAAUCCAGAUAAACAAAUAAUAUAAACAUAAAGCAUGAAAUAAAAGAUGAUAGAAAACACGGGAGACUUCAUUAAGACAGUCACACAGUGAGCUUAUUUCCAGAUCUGAUACAAACCCCUCAAAUAACCAGACUGAAAGAACUGACUUUGUAAAAAAAAAAAAAAAAAAAAAAAAAAAAGCAAUAUCCAAGAAACAGUGGGAAAAAGUGUUUUUAAUGACCCAAACCAAAUGUUUUAGGUAUUUAUAAAGGAUAAAACCCUCAUGGUGGAGAGAUGGCUCAGUGAGUAAGAGGGCUUGGCAUGCAAACAUGAGGACCUGAGUUAGGAUCUCAGCUCCCAUGUCAAAAGGUGGGUGUAACUGCAUUCCCGCCUGUAACAGUACCUGUUGAUAGAUAGCUAGGAGGAUUGUUGGGCCUUACUGGCUGCCAGCUCAGGUCCAGGUUCAGGGAGAGACUCUAUCUCAGAGGAGUCAGGUAGUGAUAGGUCAGGACACCUGAUGUCCUCCUCUGGCCACUCCAUGUGCAUGGGCUCCUGCACAGCACACGUGUUCUCCCCACAUGCCCCCCCCCCAUCCAUGGACACNGUAGCAUACGAUGCUUUAAGUCUUUCCAAUUAACAGGCCCAUCCAUAUGUACUCUUGUUGUCGGGAUCUAGGGAAACAGGCAUAUUUGGGCAGCAUUUACAAUAGUAUAGGGUCUGUGAGGCAUUAUCUACCUAAAUCCCAUUUAAAAUAGGCCGAAGAGACAUCUUAAAGUGAAUCCAUUUGAAAUAAAAAUCAAUACAUUGUGAUAAGCAGAUGAUUGGAAGGUUAUCUUGAAAAAGUGUUAAGUUAUAAAAAGAUUUGCUCAUAUAUAAUAACACUAAUGUCUGCAGACACACACUUUUAGAAAAAUAGCAAAUUGAAAACCUUUAUUUUGUAAAGCACUAUGCAGUACCAUCUUGCAGAGAAAGGAUGUUGUUGCAGAAGUAUGGCAAGGCCUGGCUGAUUUUGAGAGGGGCUGCCCUGAAUCUUCCAUGACCUCACCAACUCUCCCUUAAAAUGCUUAUCUAGAAUUAGCCUGGCUCUUCUUUUCAAUAGAUAACUGGUCUAACUGUCUGAUUUUUCCAUGGAGAAAUUCAUCAGCAAAUCUCUUUCCAACUUGAUGAAUUCUUCUAUAAGAUUUAUAGUUUCUCUUCAUAAGUGAUUUGCUUUGUGUGUGCUUAAUGUUGUUUGGUGGACAAGAGCAGCCUAGAAGGAGCUCAGUCAACAGAGAUGCCAGCAGGGAUAACAUGGAUGGGGAUGGGGAGGCACAGCCAUGUUCAAUGGGGAGAGCAAUUUCAGAGGGAACUAAUUUCAUAAGUGGUCGGUUCAUAAGUGAAUACACUUGAAUGGAUAAUCACUAUUUUUAGCUGCUCUAUACAUUCAUCAAUAGGGGACUUGUUCCAUAAAUCAUGGCAUAAUCAGAGGCUCUGCAGCUGUUAGUAGAAAGGAUGCUUGCUGCUUGUCUGAGUAAAGCUCUAUCUUCGAAUUCAUGUCCAUUGGUGCAGAGCGCCCAUGCUAAACGUGCAAAGUUUCAUUUGGCAUGGCCUCUGGGACAUAUGUCUCAGUCCCUGGCCACUGUGUGCUGUCGGACUCCUGAUUUCUGCAUUGUAUAGUAGCAUCCUUGGGAAUGUUCACUUUCUUCAUAGACUAUCCUUUGGAAGAGAGUCUGGGUCCACCAAUUUAUUAAAGGUACCUUUAGGAAGGUGGUUUUUUAACACCUAGUUUAGCAUUCCUAAUCCUGCACUACCAUCUACAUGACUUUGCCAGAUACUGUUGAGUUUACGUGUUGACUAGAAAUGCGCCUGGUUCCAGGAAUACAGCUAACAACCUGAGGAGAAUAGUGAGCACGUUCUGUCUGGAAAAAGCCUGGCCCAGAGCAAAGGCCACAUCCCCCUUACAACAUCCUGGAAUCCCAGCCACGAGAAAAACAGCACUGUCACCUGCUCACUUGAAUGUGCAUAUAUAAGUAAAACUGCUACUCAGAGUUGCAACAUAUCGUAACAAGCCAGUCCUGUGCAGACAUCUGCAAGACUACGGCACCUACCUGUACAUAAGACACACGUACAAGUAUACAAGAAUGUGUGCCACCCAUGUCCAAAGGAGGCACAGAGACAUGUAUCUUUGCUUAUAUAAAGUCUCUGGGAAGACCUAGCAGAACUAAAAACAUUUAGGAGAAGAAACUUGGGAAUUAGGGUUGGGGUAGGAGACCCUUAGUUUUGUGUUUUUGUUUUUCUUUGCCAUAUUCCUUUCUGUACCCUAAUUUUCACUGUUUGAUUUGUGCAUGUAUACACAAGGAUGUGUGGUGCAUUUGUGGUAUUUUUUUUAACAUAAUACUAGUAUAAAAGGUUUGCUCUGAUGUGCAGUGCAUUUUACUGUGAUGUUUGCUUUUUUAGCACAACAUUAAUACUUUACAAAAGUCUUGUUUGGACAUAGCAGGUGUAGUUCCAGAUCGGGAUUGGCUGUAGGCAGCCACAGUAUGCAUGCUGGGUGGACAGCAUGCCUUGGAGCUGGGAGUCUCUGGUUCAUGUCACUCUGGAGCAGGGGCUGCUCUAGCACAAAGAAGGUUUUGAAAGGCAAAGGCAGAGCCAGAGUCAGGGCAGGCUCUGGGCAGGCUCCAAGAGAGCCAGCAACCCUCUGCUGAAGGGUACCCUGAACCCCAUUGCACAGGCGGGCACCUCCUGUGAAGUGAGACUGCUACACAAGUCUCGUCAUUAUAGACUUUUGAGUGGAGUGAUUCUGAAAGAAGAGAAUGAGUACGGCGUGUCCUACUGUGCCUCAUUAAAUAUGGAAGUUUUUAUGUAACUUUCCUCCAUUUCAGGUAAUCUCAAAUUUGAUAAAUGAAGAAUGACAGCAGUUCAUCUUUCAGUUCAUUUGUGCCUCUAUUGAUCUAAUUGAAUGUUUUCUAUACAAAUUUAUUUUUAAAUCUAUCUUAGAUCUUAGUCUACAACCACAUUUCAUAUUGCCAAAACUGCAUUAGGGAGGGCCAAGUUAUCUUCACCAUUGAAACAGGUCUGCUAGUUUGGCUCUGUCUGUCCUGUGGAAAUGACACAAUGUUGACCUAAGAGGGGGGUCCUCACUUCUCCCUACUGAGUCCCCAUGGUUGGGGAAGAAGAAGCUGUGAGCCCACCCCCAGACCUGCCCACUCAGGACAUGCCCAUGUUGGGCUUGUCUGUGGACUCUGCCCUUGGCAUCCCUGUUGCCCACCUGGGCUCUGGCAGAGAAGUUGGGCGGGAAGAGGCCAGCCGAGUACCCGCCAGUAUAAGAGGAAACGGAGAGAAACAGCUCCAGUCAGCCCCAGAAGGGAGGCCUGGAAAAACUCUGCAGCUGGAGCAAACACAAAGGACUUUUCAGAUCCUGCAGUCAAGGUGCCCAGUGCUUUUUUUUUUUUUUUUUUUAAUACAGCUAUUAGGGUGACAAGCCUUUCCAAAGGCCAGCAGUUGGCGAGAGUUUCCAGGAAGCUGGUCUGGCAUGGGGCUGGGAUCAUAGCAACUUUUAACGAGUGAAGUUCAGAAGGAAAGAGUCAUCAGGAAAGGUUUAAGGUUCAACAAACUUUUUGAAUUAUUUUGCAAAAAAAGUUCUGGCUUUCCAAUUCAAAGGCAUGUUUCCCUGUGAUGGUUUUAAGCCAGAGCUUAUUUCAAAGGCAACACAGACUGCACGUUUCUAAUUCAUUCCCUGGAGAUAUUUGCCUAAUCCUAGAGACAAGCUUUGCAAGUGCCAUCCAGUGCCUGGAGACACUAGAGCCAUCCUACUAUCUUUUCAAACAGCCAUCCACCCACGUGUCUCUCCCCUCUACCAGUUUCUGUGGUUGGGAGUACACAUAUGCACACACCUUCUCUAAGCAGGAAGCUGCUCUUUGCCAAAAGUGAAUGGAAUUCAGAUUUCCAGAGGGUAUCCUUGGUCUCAAGCUCCAACAGCCAUCUGACGAAGAAAGAUGCUAGUGUGCGCGCUGGGGCUGUGAAGAGAGGGGCUUCCGUGUCCAUUCAAAUCUUUCUGGGCCCCAAGAAAAACCAACAACUGGCUGUGCUCUCCCUAGCCCCACCCAGCCUCAGUCACAUUCCUUCCCUUCCUGAGCCCACCCUGGGUGGCCCCACAAACCAGCUUCCACUCCUCCCUUCCCACUAGUGGGGAGACCUAACUCAUGUACUCAUCGAACAGCCAACAGUGAAAAUGAAGGUCACACUGCAAGCCCAGAACAGCUUAAAAGCAGAGAAGGGUCCUCCCCAAUGUCUGUUCUCACCCCAGUCAGAGGCUAUUCCCUUUUUCUCUGUCUAGCAGCCCCUAGGACUAAGCGUUCAUACCUUCCUGUGCUUGCUUCCAGGAAAUCCUAGCCUACUUCUGCCUGUAACAUUCUUGGUCCGGGAAAUGAAGAGGCUGCUGUUUGGGCUGCUGUAGCCUUCGCUACUAGAAUGUUCCAACAUAUUAGGGAUCUCUAUCCCUACCUAAGCCUUCCAAGCCCCAGGAUCCAGCAUCCCUGGGACUUGUACAUUUAUACAUGCUGACAUGGUUUUGAUAAUGAGUCACAGUAGGGAUCAGCAGUGACAAGGUAGACUGGCUGGUCCUAAGCCUAAGUUUCUGGGAUUUGUACUUGUCCAGCCAGGGAGGGAACAUGUGGAGAACCUUCUGCAGCUGUCAGAAGGAAUGAGUGACUAUGGUGGACAUUUUGGUUCUGUGCUCAGCAAGAUACCUAGGGCAGAGACUUGGCUCAAAGGCUGCAAAUCAAAUCCUUUGAUUUCAAAUGAGACUAUUUUCAAUGCCAUAGUCUCCUGGAAGCAGGAUUAUUUCUCCUGAGAUCAGUUCUGGAGGCGAUUGAGGCUUUGCCAUAUGGGCAUUGCUCUCUCACCUGGUUCUGGUUGCUACCAGGUGCUCAGCUUGUCUAAUUACAGUUGACUGUCUCUACUGUCUAUGGCUCUAAGGCCCAGUCUGAUCCUCUUGCUUGGUCAAAAGUAGUGUUGUCCUAGUGGAUUUUCUGGGUGUUCUGUAAAGUGUUAUUAUGGUUUUACUGGCCAGCCUUACUUUCUUUCCUUGGCCAGUCUCAGGUCUCAUCUGUAAGUAUCUGCAUCAUAACCUCAGGUCUACCAACUUCUUCCUGGCAGAGUCUGUAGUGGGCUUGUCCUCAUCACCUUGGAAGGAUCUUCCUGUUCCAGUCCUAGGUUUUGUGCUACUUAAGAAAAUGCCCCAGGUAACUAGCAGUAAUGCAGCCAUUUGAUCUAGCCCUGCUGGAGGUGACUGACAGAACCCCAUACAGAGGAGAUAGGUUCCAUCAGUAAACAGAACAUAGGGGUAAGAAUUGGGCCCGCUUUCUGGCUCUGGUCAUGCCAUUAGGUGGCCGUAUACUCUCUUAUCUCUGAUUGACUUCCAUUCUCUUGUCUUUACAUUAUAUGACACCUCCAAGGAUGUUGUGACCCAAACCCAGACCGCAUGGUCUCCUGAGAUCCUGUGAUGGGGCCAUUGCCCAUUGUUGAGACAGUCUGGUAAAGAAAAGCCUGGUAGCAUGGAGUAUGCAAAGCCUUAGGGAAGAAUAACUGUUUGUUUGAGACAGGUCUCAUUUAGCUCAGUUUGUUCUCAAACUCAUUGUCACUGAGGAUGACUUUGAACUUCUGAUCUUCUUGCCUGAAGCUCCUGAGUGCUGGGAUUACAGAUAUGUACAACUAGACCUAGUUUAUGCCGUGUUGGGGGUCAAACCCAGGGCUUCAUAAAUGAUAAGCCAGCAGCUCUCUAACUGCUAAACCAUAUCCCCAGAGGGAAGAAUAUCUUCAGUGAGGCCCUGAGCCUCUGGGCUGGACUACUUUACCCCUCCCCCUGUGCACAUAGCAUGCUAAGUUCAGUCAAGCCUGGAGCCUUUUGUCAAGCAUUGCUCCACUGAAGGUUGACCAUGCUACCCUCCCCCCCCCCCCACACCCCAGGCACCUGCAUCUGGAGCCCACACUCCUAGCUGGUAGAGUUCAUAGGGUAGGUUUUUGUUUUCUGAAAAAGACUAUUUCAGUGUUUUGAAUUAGCAGAGUUUCAAUUUAAUUUAACAAUUUCAAGCUCGGCGGUGGUGGCACAUGCCUUUAAUUCUAGCCUUUUAAACUGCCAAGAGGCAGAGGCAGGCAGGUUUCUGAGGCCAGUCUGCUCUACAAAGUGAGUAUUCUAGGACAGCCAAGGCUAUAAAGAGAAACCUUGCCUCUAAAAACAAACAAACAAAUAAACAAACAAACUCCAUAUCCAAACCUGAGGGAAAUAAAAGUCUGGCUACCUCCAAAGGAGGUAGACUUAGGCAAGAGAAAAAGAUCUUGGAGUAGAGGGCAGGGUGUUGGCUCACACAUAUGGCCUAAGUGUAGUCAAGGCCAGGGCAAGGGGACAGGCCCAGAACAAAUGAGCACUUUAAGUCCCAGUAUGACCUUCGCCCUACCAUCUUCACCUCAGGUACAGAGACCAGCUGCCUAGGAAAUUAAUGGUGGGGCCCAGAGGACAGCUGCUUAGUGCUACCUACUUCAAUGAACCUAGUUCUGUUGGGGCAGCAAGUUUAGGCCCUAAAGCAGGAUAGGUAAGAACCCUGCCUGAGAGUAUGUGUUUGUAGAGAGCUCUAUGUUCUCUAAGCCUCAUCUUUCACCCUUCUUACCUGCCUACAACCCCACAACAUAAAUACCUCCUAACUACCUUGCAAAUGCAGCCUCAUUUCUGCCUCAGUUCUCCAGUAGGGCACCAUAAGCCACUGUUAGGACAGAGUAAUACUUAGAGUUUGAUUUUAUAUGAGGGCUUACAGCCAGAGUCCUCAGAGAGAAGCCAGGUAGAAUAAAAGUGAUCCCUGAAAACAUCUUGAAUUACACCCUUCCCCAGUAAUCUCUCUCAGAGCCCUCUGAUCUCUUGCUUCUAAGUUGUUCUCAUGUCCCCAAAGAAGAAAAAGCUCUCAGGGGACCUGCCAAUUGUCUCUGGACUUCUGGGGCAGCAGCUCCAUGUGUGACGAGAUUACGUAGGCAGAAUAUCUAAGCAGAUGGUGAAGCCAGGAUUAUGGAGCUAGAAAUGCUUGGCUGAGUAGAGACUUAGACUAGACCCCUAUCUCUUGCACGCGCCGGACUCGCCAGCAGUAACAAUGCUGCAACAGGAUCCUUCUGCACACAUUUAUUGGGAGAGCUUGAUUGCAGAGGCGAAGAGACCCCGAGCCCAGAACUGGUGCUGCUUAUAUAGGCCUAGGAGAGGCGUNCAUUAUCAUACCUCAUUUGCAUGUCUCACAUCUGAUUGGUUAUACUCUCAAAGCCUCAUUAUCAUGCCCGGGCCAGGCAGUGUCUUUGCAAAAAAUUUUACUGCAUGUGUACACAUUGGUUGUUUGUCCAAACUUAUGCGUGGUGGCCAGCAGUAGUGAGCGCCACUCUGCAACAGCACAUGUGGCUUCCCACACCUAUCUACUUCCCCCCAUUCUCUUCCAUGUUUCCAAGAUGUCACCCAGAUCACCCAUAGAUCCAGCCAUGGGCUUAUCGUCAGACCUCUGCUAACCAGUCAUUGCCAAGGAGAUGCGUCUCAGGUAUGGCUUUUGCCAAGGACACCUGAACUCUCCUAAAAGGAAUACAAAUAUAGGCAUAAAUACUGAGUUGGAGGCUUCGGGGCACCAUGAGAAGCUUAAGAGGAAAGGACAUCCUAGUUCCUAGUCUCUGAGAUCUAGAGAUGCUGGCAUGGCCUGGAAGCCAGUGAAGGCUCCUGGCUUCCUUAUGUGGCAAUGUCAAUCACGGUAUACUUAACAGGCUGAAUUCACAGAAUUCUCAUGGCAGAAGGUGAUCAGAUGACCAGUGCCCAAACCCACCAUGGACUGUUCAAAUCUACCAAUGGUCAUAAACUCUCACGUAUUACUGAGAGUGCCAGCUUACUACUUACUCUCAGGACUUCAACCUGACCUUCACCAAAGGAGACGUAGGCCCCCAGUGACAGUGUGUCCUAGAAUGAGCCUGGCUCUUCCAGUAUUUCUUGUGUGAUAGUAGCAAGUUUCUGCCCUUCCUGAACCUUUAUUGUCCCCUUUUGUGAAGCUGAACACUGACCCACUAAGUUCUCCAGCUUACACAGAUAUACAUUAUGUAUAUCAGCUAACUAUACCAUCACCAACUCUAGCACCAGAAGUGCAGCACAGGCUAGCACUGAAAAACUAGUUUGUAAAUACUGUGGCUACAUUUGGGUUUAUCUUUUCAACAGAGAGCCUGCUUCCUAUCACUUGCAGGGCCAAAGGAAAGCAGGAUAUAAAACUUACCCCUCUCCUUAGUCUGUCUGAAGGUAGGUGCUUUUGAGUAAGCAAGUCAGCCCAAUGAUGAUGGGACCAAAUAUUGAAGCACACAGAGGAACCUUUAACUGCCAAAGGCACAGUCCUUGGAUCCCAUGUCCGACUUCCUCAUCAGAGUUAUGGGUGCUAGUCUCCUGCUUGUAUCUCUAAUUAUAGGAGUCAAAACAGCUCACAAGCCCCUUCCCCAGCUACUUCAGGCUUUAGUCAGGACUUGUAGCCUUCCCCUGCUGCUACAUAUUCCAGAUCAUCCCAGAGCUCAGUCCUCUUAAGUCUAAUUUUAUCCUGUUUAGGACAGCACUUGGGAUGCAGCCUGACCCAUUUGUAGCCCAUGGAAAAUCAUUACCUGGCAGUUUUUAAAGCUGUCAGGUCAAAUAAGCAAAACCUUAUGGGGUCUCCAGUCACAAAGGGAUACUUUAUACUUUCUCAAGUAGUUCCCCAAGUCAGGUAUAUGACUGGAUACCUGUCCACAUUUGCUAAAAUGUAUAUACCAACAGAGGAAGAUACAUUCUAAAUGUGUUAAUACACAAAGAGAACUGUAGCUCAUAGACAUUAAGAAAACUGCUUUAGGGUCCUGUGAGCAGGAUUGGAUGACCCAAGCCUGCCAGGGUUUCCUGAAAGAUGGUCCGUAGCCACUGUGAGCCCACAGCAAAUGCAAGCUUCCCAGGGCUUCCUGGAAGACACUGUUCUUAGCUAUUGCGAGCCCACAUCAGACCAUAAGCAUAUGCAGAAAACUACAGUAAGAGGACAGGAAGGUGACCGAAAUGGCUGGAGAACCAAUCAGGCCAUUGUUCCGCAGAGCCCUCAUAGGGCCAUUACAAAGGACAUUUUCCUAGAAACUGAUGCAUAUAUAUUGAAGCAAAGGCCUUACAGAGCCAGCCAAGCCAGCCAUGAGGAAGAACUGAGGGAGCCUGCAUACCCCAGCCCUCAGGUCCUACUGGUAAACAGCAAUGAUAAUGAAAGGGUAACACUGGCCAAAGAGAACAACCUGAAAGCUGACCAGUUGAACAGAGGACAGUCCAGAGAAUAACCAUAUGCCAACAGCGAGCUGAUUUAUAGUGACACUGAUAUGACAGGGCAGUGGGAGAAGGAUGGUGCUGUAUCAGACUGGAUGUCCAAGUGGAGGAAAAAGCUUAUCUUGACCUUGACUUCACACAGGACACAAAAAUCGAUUCCAGAUGGACUGCAGAUCUACAUGUGAAAGGUGAGCUUUUAAAGCUUUAGAACAAACCAGAAUAUCUUUAUGACCUUGGAGUAGUCAAAGUUUCUUAAGUAGGACAUAAACAGCACUAUCCAGAGAGGAAAUGUUUGAUUAACUGGACCAUGUUAAAAUUAAGACCUUCUGUUCAUCAAAAGACACCAAGAGGGGGCAGGACAGUCCGCAAGCAGGGCAGUAUUUACAAUACAUGUAUCUGUGUAUCUGACAAAUGACUCACACUUAAGAACACCCAGGACAGAGAGAGAUAAACUUGUGCCUGAAGAAGAACAGCUCUCAGUAUAGGAUAUAGAUGUCUUACAGAGAUCUAUAAAGAAAUGAGAAUAUAGAAUGGGGCUUAGCUCACUGCAAAUUACAGAUACCACUCUGAUGUUAUGAGAAGCCAGGAUGGCUAAAAAGGAAAUAGUGAAAAAUUCCAAGUGUGUGUGAGGAUGUGGAAAAAAGUGGAAUAUUCACAUGCUGCCAAGCAGGGGUAAAAGUUGGGGUGACUGCCAUGGGAAACAGCUGAUCCCGCAAUGACCCAGCACUUCUCGGCAUACAAUUAGCAGAGAUAGCCAUAACUUUUACCAGACACAUAUAUGUAGAAUAUUCUUAGUAACUCACUACCCAGAUCUGCCCAGUGGUCAUGGGUAGUAGAAUGAAAGAGCAAAUCACAGGCCACUCAGAACAGAGUGUCAACGAUCAAAAGGCUCCCGAGACCACUGUUUUCUUCAGCCUCACUGGGAGGGGUGGGUGGUUCUCAGACAUCAGAGUGAAUGAAAGUGCCAGAUACAUGUGUGUGCCGUGUGCGAUCUAGCCAUGUAGAUUUCAAACUCGGGCAAAGAAGGCUGUUGUGCUGGGAAGUGAGCUUAUGGUUUGUUCUUGGUGUGUCCAUGAUAGGAAAUGGGAUCUAGGGGACUCCCUGGGGAUUCUACUGCUUUCUUUGGAUGCUUGGCUCUCAGGUAGGGAGAAUGCAGUAGGUUUGUACUGGAAAUCUGUAUACGUUACUCUUUUGAUGUGUUCCCUUUCUACUAUAAGUAAGUUUGUAACCCAGUGCUCUAUAGAAGACAGUAUUUUCUGAGCUUUAGUAGAGACACAACACGGUACAAGCCCAGAGGGACUGGCCUUGCCGCCUGACUACCACCUUGUUUAGAAGGAUAUAUUACUCCAGUACCCCUGACCAGACCACCAGCAGUCCCUAUUGUUCAGUUUCCACUUCCAGCUCUAGGCAAAGCAAACAGAAGAUGUAUUUGAGGGGCUCUCUCUGUUUUUCAGAGUACCUUUCUUUUAUGGUAUCGGUGUAGUAUGUACUGUCACACUACUCUCCCUGGCUUCUCUGUCUCCCUCAGAACAAUUCUAGGAGGUUGCUGCAUCCCUUUUCAUGUGCUUAGAUGAAGGAAGUGAAACUAGGGAAGGUUAGGGGCACUGGGGGCUGCCUAUAGCUGGGCCAGUGCAGGCUGGGAGCCAGAUUGAGGGCAUUCGAUUCCCAGUCCCUCUCUUUCCCACUGAGCCACUGAGCCACUCCGCCUCGCUUUUAAUUUAAUUAGGAGAACAUUUAAUCCCCCGUGCAUUUCAGAGACGGGUUUGAGCCUGGCCGGGGCCUUGUGGGGCUCUGACAGGGAUCCUGUGACUCAUACAGCCUUGCACAGCCCUCCCGGGAGGGCUCUCAUGGGGCUUCUUUGGCACCUUAUGCAGACAGAGGUGGUCUGGAUAUUCACAGAAGACAGGACACUAGUCUGGAAAGACAAACUGGUCUCAUCUGUUCUUGACAAGUCCCCUUCCCUAUCCUCCUGGACACUGCCCCCAACAUGGCCCCUCCAUCUUCUCCCAUCAUCAUUUGCAGGUUGAGAAGCCAAGUAAGAGAAAUGGGUGCUCACUGAGGUACCACAGCAGGCCCUGAUUGUCUCCAGGCCCUGAAUAUCCCAGGCAAAGCAGUCCCAUCAGAAGAGCUAGCCCCCUAGUCCACUAAUGCUCCCCUUCCAGAAGGCAUAGGCUGGCCCCAGCCUCGCUGACAAACGCAGAAUUCAGGAGACAUUAGUAGUGAUGUGGAUGAAAGCCAGGCCACAGCGGGCCUCCCUGGAAAAGAGAAACUCGAACGUCUUGGCGUGAGAUUCUGCAGGGUCCAGGAGAAAGUUGAAGACAUGGAAAUUCUAAUUAACGCACGAGGGGCUGGUUUUGCUCAAAGAUUUUUGAAGCUGUCAUGUCAAAAGAGGCCCGGCAAGCACAUGCUCGCCCGGGAGGUGCUUGUGGGCACCUGGUGGGAUUCUUGCAAUGUCCUAGCCUGUAUUCUUACUUUCCCUCUGUCCUCUAGACUUUUCUCCACCCAUCUUGGUAAACUGGUGGCCCCUGAAUGUCAUCCCAGAGUGGGAUGGCAGGCUGGUUAGUAAAUAAAUGUUGAGGCUUCCAGUUGAAAAUGUCACAUCAAAAAAGUCUGAGGGCUCAGGAACCAACCUCUUGGAAGAAACCUUUAGGGAAACUACAUGGCAGAGCCAGGCUGAGCUAUAGGCUGCUGUGCUUGUGGUAGGCUUGGCAUUUGGGGAUGUUCAUCUUAGAUAUCCUUGUGCAACGGAUGGGGCAAUGGUUCCAGACAAGUUCUGAUUGAUUCAUCGGCUGGAGGGUGGGGUGAAGUGGCUGUAGGAGAAGCUCACUGAGGUCAAACCCAGACAUGCUUCUUUAGCGUUGAGCUAUAGGUGCUCAUGUCCUGGGCCCUGUGUAUGUCUCGGCAUCUAUGGGACGUACCUGGAGACCUUGCUUCAUUUCAGGCAAGGCUAAUGAUGUGCUUUCUGUGUCAGAGUAGGACUGGCAAUCUUAGGGUUCUUUCAUCCUGGAGUUUUGGGGAGUGCUGGAAAAAGAGUGGCCAUGAGCAGCCACAACACUCUGCUGCUUGCCUGACCCAGGCUAGAAUCAGGGAGCUUUGAUGAUAGCCUCAAGAUGAUGUGAGAGGCAUUCCUGGGGAAAGGGAGGACUGAGUAGACACUGGAAAGAUGUGCAAUUCUGAUGGCUACAGGACCGACAAGGACAUUCCAGCUGGUGGGAUGCAAAUGAGCCCUUGCCAGUUAAUCCCAGUAAGCAGAAUCCUGGAGACUUGCCCUAUUAGUUGUAAAGAUACUCCCCAUCUCUCGUGGCAGUGGGUCUCUAUUUCCUACGUGGCCCUUAGAAGUCUGGAGCAAGGCUUUAGAUAGAGGAUUCAUGUUGAGGGAGAUUGAGGAGUACAGGGCUCCCUUCCAGUGAUGUUAGAACCAGGAAGACAGCAUCUGACUGAAAUAUGUAUGCAACACCGAGGCCCAGAUAUCCAGAUCUGGACGAUGCCUGGGGCUUACUUGAGGAGCUGCUGGUACGUGCCUGUUGAGCUGGGGUCAGAGAAGCAAUAUUGUCUUCUCAGCAUCCUUCCCUAUUUACCUCUCUGGUUUUCAAUAGGCCUGCACCUUGGCCUCUCUGUCCCCAAACUAUCAGUGGCCAACCGGCUCUGAAAAGAGGAGCUUCACCCAGCCCCAGGGACCUUCCCAUAAUCAAGGCUACAGUGACCUCACCUCCCUAGGGCCCCUGGGCGGGGAGAGCUUGAGAUGGAAACAAAAUGUGUCUUUAUUUAUGCUUUUAAUUUGAAUUCUGGAACUGGCCCAGCAUGGUAAUACAUUUAACAUCAGUAAAAUGCUGAAGAAAAAUGGAUCUGUUUUUCUGCAACUGCUUCCCACCCACUCUGCUCCCUGCAAGACCCUAGUACACAUCUCUGUCCCUGGUAGACACGUACGAGGGUGUGUGCCUCUUUUUUCAGUGUAGGUUCAUAGGGCCAGCUGCCCACAGGAGCCAUGCUGCAUCAGUGAGCUGCUGGAGCCUAGCUUAAUUACAGACAUCAAUCAACAGGCUGACUAUGCAAGAGGCAAAGGAAUGCAGCCCUGGUGUGGGCACGUGGGCCCCUUACACAGUACCCAUGAUGGCCUAUCUGCUCCCCUAGAAUGGGGAGGGGUCUUGGUAAGGCCAGUAGUCCUGGGAGCACAUCAGGUUCUAGGACCCAGACACACACCAGGCCUAUGGUCAUGCUCUCUGCUAGGACUUCCACCAAGGAUGGCACUAGACUUCUACAGAUGUGGGUGUCUAAAUUCUUAGAUGCCUCAACCCUGACUCCAACUCUGCUUUGACCAGAUUAUAUUUUUUGCUUAAGCCUAUGAUCUCUCUAUCUCUACCUUAGGUCUUUUAACUCAGCCCCACCGUGGGCUCCUCCUUUCCUCCUUUCCCACCUUCCUAGAUUGGCUUGUUCCCAGCUGCUGCAUUUGGAAUAAGUUGGCCUAGAAAGAGUCUUGGUGUGUUCUUGGGUAGAGACUUGACUGGAUAAAGACUGUCCACCUACUCAGGUUCCAGGAGUGCUGGCCUGAGAAGAGCUGUGGUACCUGGAAAGAUGGUGACACACUAGGCCUAUAGAGACCAAGAAAGCAUCAUUCAUGUCUCUGAGGUUCUGUUACAGAUCUGUUAUCAGAUUUGGCCUAGUACUCUGAGCAGAGUCGUCUAAGUGGCUUAGGGCUGCUUCUAGAACAGAUAGACAGUAAAUGUCUGGCUCCAGGAGCUUUGAGUAUACUAAUACCAGCACAGGUGGCCUUUUGCCCCCAAAGGUGUGGUUAUAGGGCAUCUAUGGACUGAACUAUGGUCAUGUAUCACCAGUUUCCACCCUCCCUUGGGACCUCGUUGGUGCUCACAGUAGCUAGGAGAUGUGAGACACAUCUAUCAAGGUAGAUGGUUUGUUGAGAGCGCUACUCUCAUUGUAGCUGCUUCUGUGUCUGGAGGUUGCUCCAUGGCCAGAAGAAUAAAAUGGAAUGGAUACCAAUGAGAGGUGAGUGAUCAGGGGGAUAAGAAGGCUGACUGGUCUUUCUAGGCGUAGGCAAUUCCCUGAGGCCUGCUAUGGUUGCCAUGGUGCUACUUACUAUCCUUACUCCUAAGCAGGCACUGGCAUAUCCAACCCCAGCCACAAGACACCAGUGUUUACACUUUGAGUUGUCUCAUGCCGUGGACUUGAUGGAGAGACUUAACCAUAGUGUAAGCUAUUUUUCUACCCUCUGACGCCAGCCUAUACCUGCCUAGCCUGUCUGGACUCCUGUUCCCACACCUCUGUUCCCGCUUGCUAAUGCAGCCAGCCUGUAAGGCUAUCUUAGGAGGGAGAGUGACCCCUGCUUCUCAAUAACAUUCUCGCUCUCUCUAAACCCAUGAACCCUCUCUACAUCUUACAAACCACGAGGCACUGCUAACCUCGUUUAAGUUUGGGUGGUCUGGGAAGAUAGUGGGCAUGCCUUGUUUGAUCAUAAUCAUUCCUCUGACAAGCCUGCCUUCCCCCAGGGUGGCCUCAACUUGGCUAUCUGGUUACUUAAGAAACCCCCAGCACUGUGAGUCCAAGUUUCUUCAGUCAUUGUAAAGUCAAGCCUGAAAUCUAGGCAUAGGCCAGAAGCGUUAUGACUACACAAGGUUAAGGACAUGAAUUUUAGUAGAAAGAGUGGAAGAGUCUCAGAAUGCGAAUCUCAGGAAAACUAAGAGCAUGGCAUUAACAUCCUGGCACAGAAACACUUUUCUAGAGGAGUGCCCCGUGGGGCAGUGGUCAGAAGCAGUCUGAGUGACCUGCCUCCACCACAUCGCUGCCUCUCCUGAGUUUUGGUAGGAACAUUUGAGUCACAUGUUGCAGAGAAAUCAUGGCAUGGCUGGGUACUAGGGUUUGUCCUGGUGAUGCCUUGAUGGGGGCCCAAAUGGGGGGAGAGGAUGGGCAUGUGUCCCAGGCCAGCUGUGCCUGGGGGAAGGCCAACUGGAAGGCGUAGAAAAUCAGCCAUUUCCUCCACCUGAAGGAGCCCCUGAGGACAGUAGUGGCAACUAGCAUCUGCCCCAUGGCUUUGGCCAAAAUCCCACAGGGAAAUGCUAAAAAAUAAUGUUAACUCUCUUGAAGGAGUGGUGGAGGGGUAGAGGGGAGGAAAACAACAACAACAACAACAACAACAAAACCAACCCAAGUUUCUCAGACGCUCAAAGCAUGCAAACAAGUGGAAAAUGAUCAGUCUGGUUUUCCAUAAGUCAAAACAAGAGGAUCAUGUUUCCAGAUUCAGUGGGAAAGCCCCUGCCCUUCUCUCCUGCCUGAGCCCUGAGGCCAGCCCCAGCAGCCAGUGUCCCCAGGUUCAUAAGGAUAGGCAGUGAGUUGUGGGUACUGGGUAAAUAGACUGCAUCCCAGCAAGAGGAUAAGCUUUGCCCUAUGCUAGGGCAGUUCCCUUGAGCCCCAGCCUUUGAGGGCAAAUGGACACUCACUGUGACACAUGGGUGAUGGGGGUCAGCAGUGUCUCCCCUUCCAGGUCCAGGUCCUCUGCAAAGCUGUUUGUUCUCAAGAAAUGGGGUGUGCUUACUUCCAGCAGUGUAGGGCUCUUCCUUACUGUGAAGAAGGUAUGGGGACAGCUCAUUAGGCUUCAAUAGAAACUUGAUCAUGAAGGGGAUCCAGAACUGGACAGAACUAGACUCAAAUGUCCACCCCAACCUGCUAUUGCUAUGGGAUAAACCUGUAAGCUCUCAAGAUCAGGUGAAGAGUGAGGACAGAGCUUGGAAGUUUUAGCCUUACCCAUCAGGUUGGUUUACACUGAGUGGAAUAAGUGAGUGGGCAUUCACUUAUUCCAUUCACUUAUGCCCAUUCACUUAUUGAUUGGUCCCCAGGUACCUGGGGACUUAGCCUCCCAGGGUAAACCAUAGAGGCUGGUACAUUCUCCCCAGUGUUGUAGCUGCCCUGGGGCUGAGUUCCAGGACUGAGUAAGGUUCUGCCCUAUGUAUGUUAAGUUCUAGGCCUCUCACCAGCUUCACAUAAAACAUUUGUGCCAAGAACAAAUGAAAGCACUGAUCUCCACUACUGUGCUAUUCACACACAUACACUGACAGAUCAGUGGACCAUGCAACAAAAGGUGCUAGUACCUCUGCUUAUCAGGAAUCACAAGCUGAAUUCCUUGUUCUGGUCAUGAUGCCUUAUUAACCGGGUUCUCUCUGAGGGAGGCCUCCAGACUGUCCCAAUAGCUGACUUCCAUAGCUCAGGGCACUGAUCCAGAUUAGUCUUCACAGCAUUUCCAGCUUACUAGUGUUUGCUCUCAACUCACUUCUCCUUUAAAGUAUCUAAUAUAGUAUUAAGUACUUCUGAUGAGUGGAAUAUUGAAAAAUUCACAGUGGUCCUCAAUUAUAGGAAUCAUCUGCUGCCCGGGACCCUGGCUUUUCUGGUAGCACAAAUGUGAGGUCAUAAACUUGGGCAGACUUCUGUUCUUGUCAGUUUUUCUUACUCUGCGACAUUCUUUUCUUUAGGUAUGCAGCUAUGCAUCUAAUGAUCAUUUUAGCAGCACAUGAGCCCAUAGCUUAGGUCUACCACAAUUAACUUUACUCAUCCCAUAUUUUAUGGAUGUUCAGUCUUGUAGUUUUAUGACAACCAGACAGUGAUGUAAUAUCCAUCUUCGUUGUUAAAAGUUGUUGAUAUACUGGGCAGGUGAGAUAGCAUGACUUUGGUAAUAUUAAUAAGUGUUUUUGGAUUGUUCUUCUGUUAAGUUGUAGCCAACUAUUCCUCCCCUUCAAUUUUGCUUGGCCUUUUAAGCAUGGAUAAACACUGAGGCUUUCUCAUUUUCAAAAUUGUUAUUAGUUCUUUGAGACUAUGAUCAACGAACUUUGAUCCUCAACCACCUUCUAACUUCUCAAUUUUGUAUCCUCUUGUUUUAAAAUUCAAUAAUUCAUCAACUUCAGUUUGUGCUCUCCAUGUAAUUCUGGGUGUGGGGGCUGUAAUACUGCAGUAUGAAUGACCCACCAGGAGUUAGAAUGUUAAGGAAAAACUCUCCUUUCCCAGGAGCCAUUAAUUGUCCAUAGCUUUUCAAGAACCUCUUGGGGUUCGUGAAAUUCUUGUACUCAAUGAUACAGUGUUGACUGGCUUGAUCUUGUGUAGGCAAUCAUGCAACUGUCCUGUCAUGCCCAGAAGUUAGUUUGUUCCAGUCGUCGCCUAUCUCUGGCUCUUACAGUCCUCCCAUCCCCUUUUAUAAUGGUCCUGGGCCUGUGAGAGGGGGAUGGUUUUCUCAUUUUCAUAUUCACUGACUGCUUCUGGCUUGUUUGGGAUUCUUCUUUCAGAAUUGCCCGUUAAUAACCUUUGCUUGGCAUUUCAAAGGAACUUUUAAUUCAUUAGAGAUAAUAACCUUGUGUUACAUGAAGCAUAAAUAACUUUCUUGGUCUAUGUUUGUCUUUUUAACACUCCGUUGUUUUAUCAUAAAGACUGUCUUGUUUUUUUUACAGUGAUGCAUUUACUUUAUGGAAUGGGUUUCCCACAACUACUACAGCAGUCUUUUACAUUUAUUUCCAAUAUAAACAUACAAAUGUGGGCAUACAUCUGUAUGUGUAUAUAAAUUUUAACACAUUUAGCAUUUAUGUGUAAUGCAAAGGAUGUUUAGAAGUCAUACAAUGGAAAUACAAGAACACUAUAUAUAGUCUUUUAAAAAUCUGAAAUAGAACAUAAAACUAAAAAAAAAGUUAAGAAAACUUCAAAAUCUCUAGGACUUUAGAUUUGAAAGAGAAUUGAGAUGCAACACCGAAAACUUAAUCCAAGUGGGGGAGGGGACUCAAUUUUAUUAUAAUUAGAAACAAAUGAGUUAUUCCUGCAACAAGUGCAUUUUUCUAAGUAGCAACAGAAGCAAGGAGGAACAGGCUCACUGACUGUUAAAAUGCUGUGCUUUGUGAAGGCAAUGAGACAAGUCACAGAUUUACUGCAUAUCACUUAAUGGAAUCAAGGGCCUUGUACCCAGAGUAUAUAAAGAAGAAUGAUCAUAAUUUGACAACAGUGAAGCAAACAACCCAUCUUAAAAAGUGGAUUACAAAUAAGCAUGGGAAAUUGUGCUCAGCCACAGUCUAUGGUCUUUAUGGAAAUACAAUAUUAAAGCUUCAGUGAGAUAACCCUGAAAAUUAUCAUGAAGAUGGAUAAAGCAUUAAAUUAAAACCUUGUAACAGCCAGCACUUCAAGGAGGCAGAAUGACUGCAACCCUCAUGUGCCCGAGGUGGGAAUGCAAAGUGGCCCAACUGCUCUGAAGAACAAACUUCAUAGCCUUAUAAACACACAUAUGAUUUAUGACUCAGUGUAUGGGAUAUUUAAGUUCACAUAAAUCUGCACACAAAAAUAUACAGCAAUUUUACCUCUAGUUGCACCAAACAAGUUAUAACCAAGAUGGCAACAGUGAAAUGAAUAAAGAAAUCGUGGUGUGUCUAUCUGUCCCACCUAUGCAGUGGAAUAAUGUCCAGCAAUCAACUAGAAUAUUGGAGGAUCCUGGGACAGAUAAUAGACUAUGGUGAGUAGACUGUGUGUUGUGAAUACAUGAUAGAGCACUGAAGAGAGAAGGUGGGGUCUGGGGGAGGAGGAACUUGCUAACGUUGCUUUAAAAAAUAAUGUUUGGACUAAAGAAAACCUAGAGAAAAAAUACUGACAUAAACACAAUAUUCUUGUAGAUAAUUUUGUUUCACACAGGGGUACUGUAUAUCAAGGAUUAUACAAACCAGUAUCUAUACUAGAAAAUGGGAGCUGAGGACAAAGUAAGGAUAAUCAGAAACAGUAUAAACUCGAGGUAAGCUGCAUAAAGAUACAAACCCUGAAACAUGGAUGUAUAUAGACUUUCAUUAUAGACAUACAUAUUUCCUAGUUCUACCUGCAGAAAGGAUAUGUUAUCAGUGACCCUUUUGUGGCAAAGAACACACUCUGUGCCCAGGUCAUAUAUAACACUGUUAGUCUGCCAAUAAAAGCGAAUAUGGCUCCUUGGAAGAAUGGCCGCUUCUGGGGCUAGCACAGGGAAACUACACGAUGAACCUAAAAGGAACUAAAUGGAAAGCAUGUCUAAAGGGCUCCUGUACAAGUGGCUAAAGUAGAAAAAGGUUAGCCACAAAACAAUAAUCCUCAGCUAUACCCCAGAAACACAGUUGCCAAGUCCGUCUGUAUUUCUAAAUAACUGAAAGUGAGAUGAAAAAAGUGAUCUCUGUAAGUGUAGAAGGAACGAGUUAACCAGAAGUGCACCGUAGAAAUGCUUGAAAGAUCCGUGGAUGAAGGCUAGAAUAGAAUUAGUAGGUGAAAUCUUUUUUUUUUGUAAUUAUUCCUUCAUUCUCUUUAUUGAUCCAUGUUGAACAUAUACAAUAAACUAAAAAGCCACUUUGUUCAUUUAAUUAUCAUAUAUGAUUGUAUUGUCCAUUUUACAGUUAUGUUGUUUUCCAGUGACAUUGAUUGAAUCCCGGGCUUUGUUCAUGCUAGACAAGCAUUCUGCCACUACACUACAUCCUUAGUCCCAAAAUAAAUUUUAAUUGCUUUAGUGAUUUUAACACAUUCACAGAGUCUCUAAUACUCUUUGCAAGAGAUAGAAUGAAAUUCCUCAUUCUCCGAAUGUUGGCCAGACCUGGUGACUUGCUUUUAAUAACUAGGUCUAAUAAAGGUGAAAUAGUGGGUCAAUUACAGUGAGCUAUUUAAUCAUGUAAAGUUGACACCAUGGUGAUGGAAGAAAAUGAGAAAAGCACCUUGCCUUAAUGACAUUUACGACACCUGUAACCCUAUUCUAAUUUUGAGAGAAUGUUAUACAGACCCAGAGUAGCACUGACAUUUGAUAAGUAUUUAAAAGCAUCAACUCCAGUGACAGUACUGACAGGACACCAAGGUCCUGCUGAAUGAGCGUGAUGGUAGAUAUUGGACAGGCUCUUGGAGCAUCAAACUGGGAGAAAGACUAAAGUGUAGCUCUACAGCAUUGUAUUAAAUUAAACUUGUUUUAGUUUUUAAUCAAAGUAACAUGGUUAUGUGAGGUACUUCGUGAAAGGUACAUUGCAAGACUAUUUUUUCUUUUACAAGAAUAUGUAAUAUAUGCAAAUAAAACACACAAAUUAAAAGGGAAAAGAAGCAGAAUAGUAGAAAAGAAUCUCUAGUGUAUAAAGAUAGAUUAAAAACUAUUAAGAAAAGCACAAAACUUUAAACAGAGACACCGACAAACAGAAAACUGCCUUUAUUGCAUUGACAAAACACUCAAAAAAUUCUGAAAAAUCCUAAAUUUUAAUUAAAAUCCUAAUGUUUGUGGUGAAUACUCUGACAAGUGGAUUCUGAGAUGUAUUUGGAAGUGUAAAAGACCAGGGAAAAGUAAUAUUCUUUAAGAACAGGGUGGCUAAUAGGCUUAUCAAAAACAAGUACUUCAACAUAGUAGUCAUUAAUACAAUGUAGAACUGAUUCAAGGAGAGACUUAACUGGCUAGUGGGAUAGAAAUGGAUGUCAGAAAAUAGCCUACCCAUGGACACUUGCAAUGUAUUAAAGGCUUACUUAUCAUGAGAUGGCCUUUUAAAUGACACAUUCAAGGACAAGGAAAUUCACAUGGGGAAAACACUGAACUGGGCCCUUAAUUUUCUCACAGCGUACAUUGAAAACACAUUCUUGGUGUUUCAGGGCUUAUGACAAGUAGAACUAGAAGGACCAUAGGCCUGGAUAUAGAAGAAUAUCUACAUUGCUUUGGGGUAGAAUAACUAAGAAGCAAUAAUCAAAAAGAAAAAUAGCAAUUUAGCCACAUUCAGAGUCAAAACCUAGAUAUCUAAAUACAUUUUAAAUAGUAAAAAGGGAUUCAAAAAUGAUAAAACAUAUAAAAAGUUAGGUAAAUCAGUAAGAACAAAUAGAUAAGUCUGGUGGCGCAGGUCUGUAAUCGUAGCUACCUAGGAAGCUGAGGAAGAAGAAAUAUUAUGUUCAGGACCUUGCUGGGACAACAGUGAGUCAAGAUAACUCUCAAAGAGCAAAAUGAGGGCUAGAGAUGGCUCAGUGGUAGUGUCUUCCCACUAGGUAUAAGACCUUAGGUUUAAUUCUCUAGUACUGAAAAAAAUGACCUAACCGAAAAAUAAGCAAGACACCCUACACCCACCCCCUUCAAAAUGAGACAAGAAUUCAAAAGCGUGAUGAGCUUAUGGAAAGGUGUUGUGCCUGACUAGCAAUCAGGGAAAUAUAAAUAAACUCAGGAGCUCAUGGCCCAAGGGGCCAGCAGCAGACUUCCAGCAGGAAACUAUACAGACAUUACUUAGUCAUAGCUGGAAGAAGGGCUCAAGUAAAGGGCUCUGUGCCUGUGACAUCCUCAGAGAGACCAGGGAAAGACCUGUAAACCUUGAGGAAUGUGUGCACAUGAAGAGGCCCACAGGUCUGGGACGUGGUGGGAGUAUGUUACUGUUCCCAUUCUAGAGACUCAGGGCUGAGAUUCAAGUGUACUGGGUUAUAUUAUACACUUGUCAAGUCACAGCUACAACUUCAUCCAGGAUUCAAAUGUUCUUUUGGAAAAAAAAAGAAAAAGAACACAAAUACAUAUUUCAGUACUUGCAUCACUUGUAUACACAAGAAAGGAGAAGCAAAGAGGUGACUGGAAGAGGGGGCUGUGUUCUACACACCCAGAAUGACAAGUGCCAUCUCCAAGCCUGAGGGCCCAGGGUGAGCCCCUCAACUCCUGAGAAAGGCUCUGUCCUGGUAUUAGGAAAUUAAAAUGUGCACAUCAGUUGGCUGUCCACAGCGGGCGGGGCCUGCACCUGCCAGAGAGGAAUGUGGACUCUUUGGUUUAAUCCUGGGAAGGGUUCAUGGGGCCCCUGCAGUGAGGGUCAGAGAGGGGCUCAGCACAGUUGUUUUUCCAAGUCAAAAGGAGAGACUGUUGUCUGCUAGGCAUGUUUCAGAGACUUUAGGGGUGCUUCUCUUUCAUGGGAGAAACACUAUUCAGGACUGCCACCCACUUUAUAUUUGGAUCUGUACUCACAGCCAGGUCAGACAUCUCAAAGAUUCUGAAAGGGAGUUGAGAGGGCAGGGUUUCAACUUAAACACACUGGUGGUGCUCCUCUUAGGCAAGAGCUUGGGGCAAGUAUUGUGUUCUAAGAAGCCCCAUUGGGCACUUCAUCUCUGAAGAGCCCAGAGUUUGUCUUUCAUAAAGAUAUAAAAAGAUAGCCCAACUGCAGAACAAACUGAGACCAUGGUGAAUGUGACAAGGGUCAUAUGACCACUUAGACCCUGUGUAGAGGAUACUAGAGCAAUGUCAGGUGUUCUCUUCUGAACCAACCAAUGUCAGUGUACCUGGUCCUGGAGGAAAAGUACUGUUUCCUAGUGACAGUGAAGUCACAUUUUCCUAAAACGAUUCUAGUUUUUGAUGCUUUCAUUCCUUGGCUGCUUCUGUCUUGUCAGAGCCAGAAUCUGGACCUAAGUGUGCAGGGCAGAACAAAACAAUUUUGUUUUCUAGGAAAAUGGGAGGUCUGGAAUGGCGAAUGUAGCCUCAGGCGUGGCAACUGCCCCAGCUGGGACUACCCACUGCCAAGUUUCACCCUCUCUCAAGAGAACCAAAACCAGACUGUACGCAGCAUCUUCCUUCUCAGCCAAAGGGCCUACUCGUUAGGGUGAUUUGCAUUGUACUUAAGCAUUGAAAAAAAAAAAAGACUGGAAGGAAAUAGAUCAAAAUGUGGUAUGUUUGCCUGUGGAUUAAAGGACUUCAAAUGAUUUUCAUUUCCUUCCUUAUAGUAUAUGUAUUUUCUAUUUGAAUGAAUGAUACAUUUAGAAGUCAGAAAAACAGUUCAUACAAGCCUCCUGUAUUUGCCUUGCCCUCCUCAUCCUGGGGUUAGCACAAUGCAUCUAAGUGUCCUUACUCAGCCACCUCCUCCAGUCUGUCCUUAAGAUGCCCAAGAGACCCAAUGACACAGAGCUCCUACUUCCCAAGCUCUCCAAGACCUUCCCUUUCCUAGCUCCAUUACUCCUGCAUUGAGCUCCCAGACUUUCCCUCUGCAUACCCGAUCAUCUGAGCAUUCCAAGUCCAACUCUCUGCAAGGCCCCAGGCCACCCUGUUGCCCACUGCCCUCUGCUGAGACUUGCUGGUGUCAGUAACUUCACCCAGCUGCUCACCCCUGCCCUCCUCCUCCUCCUAACUGAUUAUAAUCCUGCCUGAUCUCCCAGAUGUAACCUAAACCACCUUCCUAUGUAAGCUCCCCAAGGCUCUAGAGAUUGCCCCUUCAAUUGCUAUGGGGCUUAUGUGUGCCUGGCCCUCAGCACAGGAACCUUGCUUUCUUCCUCUCCCAUGUCACCUCCGGUGCCUGGCACAGGCAAGUCCCCUGAGCCAGCUCACUCCGAUGGAAUAAACAAGCUGCCUAUGUCCUCCCCUAGCAGAGGCCCUUUCCCUGUCCCCCCUCAAUCAAUUUCCCCGUCUUGGUGGAUUUGCCAAAGCCCUGUGGAUCCUGCACCAUGAAGGAAAAAAAACCCUCCCUAGGGCAUCUGGACAGCUGCAGCCAGGUCCUGCGUGACAUUGCUGAGCUGCAGCCCCACAGCCUGUGCCAGCUGCCCAUGCCCUGUUCACAGACCCUGAGCCAGACCAGACCCAACACCACCUGUGUCUUCACUCAGAGGGGAGAAGUAAGAGACAAGGACAGAAAGUGUAAAAGCUAUUCCCACAACAGCUGCCAGGAACAAGGCGAGAGUGCAGUGUAAAUGUAUAUUCACAGCUGGUACCCAGUUCCGCUUAGGAAAAUACCUUGCUUGAGUGGACACCUGUUGUUUUUGCGAACUCUGCAACCAGGCCUGGCUUCUGGAAAUAGUUCACCGAAUCUUCCUUAAAGGGGUCCUCAUUUCCUACUCCCCAGUGUGUAAGAUUUAGGAAUUCAUUGGCUAUUUCCAAAGGGGGCUUUGUGGCUGGAUCACAACUUCAGAAACAUAGUUGCACUUAUAAAGAUGGCUUGUACUUUGGUUGGGAGCAUUGAGAGCCUAGCCUGAGCCUGUGGCAGAAAUCAUUUGGAAAAAGUCUGGCAUCUUUCUUCUGGUACAUGUAAAAUAGUGGACAUCUUACAUUUAUUGGAAAGUGAGUGUUUAAGGACACAGAUGAAUAUAGCUAUGCAUGUAUCUAUAGGCAGAGAGAGGGAAAGAGCACAAAAAGGACAGGGUAGAAGGAGGAGAGAAAGCAUCACCAGACUAGCUCUAGCUGUGUCUGGAACAGCCAGGUUCAGAUUCAUAAACUAGAAAAAUGUCUCAUUGUCCUUAUCUAGAUUGAAAUGGGCUCUGCAGUCUGUUACCAAGAGCACUUAGGAAUAUAAAAAGCUAGGGGUAAGAUAUGAACCUGAGGAGAUAGGUCUGGGGGUAAGUCUAGGUUGCAAAACACAGCAAACAAAACAACAACAAACACCCUAAGACAGUCUUGUUAAGCUUUGCAGAGUAGAAGACAGGAAAGAAGAAGGUUAGCUAGAUAAAUCUGGCCCGAGGCCCCAGCUUCAGCUCUACAUGGGCCAGGAAACUCUGGGAAAGGUGCUUCGUACAGCUGUCCACUGACUUUCUACUGUUAUAAUGCAAACUUCUCUUUAGAGAGCUUCUCUCUCUACCCUGUGUUUGCAGCACUUUAUGGAACAUGCUGUAUUUUGUGUUCAAGCAAAGACUGAGGAUACAUUUAACUUGAGAUGGACAGUGACAUGACAGUUGAAGAUGACCUAUGGAAUCCCAAGAAAUCCUAGGAACAAUGCUAGGCUUUGUGCAACUACAGAGUUCAUAGUGCUGGAGACUUUUCACUGAAUGCCUUUUCUCAUAAUGGAGAUAACAGGCCUAACACAUAAAUCUCAGAGUAAAUGGAAAUGAUUCUGUGGGCCCAAGGGUGGGGUCUGAAUGGUAAGGUGCUAAAGAGGACAGGCAAUGACAGAGCUAGCCCUAAGCAAGCCCAGGAAGCAGAGCAUGAGUAGCACAGCUGCCUGCAGAACAAAACUAGUCUACCCAGCUUUCCAUGCUGCAAGAAGUCACUGUCCAGGUCUCCCAAGACACAUUUGGAAGGGAAGGUUCCAGGCAGCAAGAGCGGCCCCAGGAAACUUUAAUAUACAAUGGAAUCUGGGUUAAGCACUAUCUUCUCCAAAAGUUGAGCUCACAGGACAUUCCCCAGAAACCUCUGGAGAGGUGGGGAGGAAAGUUUCUGGAGGUCUUUGGACGAAGAAAACAAAAAAGUGGCCUUGAUUUUUCAAGGAGAAAUUACACAGGAAGAAAAAAAUGUUUUUAAUCUAAUUAAGAGCGAUCUUUUCACCUUCAUCACAACAUCACGGAAAUGUGCCAGUUCUUAACUUCACACAAUAAUCAAAGCAAUUAAGGAGAAGCCUUGGAAACUGGUGCAGAUGUUCUCAGAAUGUUUAAUGGGGAAAUGAGUUGCAGGCCUCAUUCUCAGCAUCCGGCUCCAGGCCCUGGCUACCAAAUCCAGACAUCUGCUGGGGCCCCACUCCCAGGCCUGGAGGGUGUGUGCUUGAGAAACACAGGUCUCUUCCCAGGCUGCCUCUAGCGAGGCCAGAUCUGGGGCCCCAGAGGCUCCCCAUGGUUCCUCAAGCCAGAGCCUGGACAUAGUCAGAAUCACCCCAGAGCUAGGGAGAAGCUUAAUGUCAAAAUUAUGUUAACAACUGAUGUCAAAAGUAAUCAACUCAAACUGGCUCCCUCACCCCUGCUGGCUGCAGGAGGACUAUGAGUAGAGGAAGGGGGGGCAAAGAGCCCCUGGCAGGGGCUGGGAGAGACUCUCUUCUUUGACCUCCUCAGCAUGAAGAUCACAUAAAGGUGUGGCAGCAUUGGUGCAGUCUGACUCUGUGUGCUUUGGUUCAAUGUUGCCAAGCUAGACCCGAGAAGCAAAUUAGUCCAUCCUUGAGUAAUUUUCAAAAAUCAGAAACCAUGUAGAAAGGAGGGUGCUGCUCACUUAGUAACUAGCCUGUUUUAGAGAGCAGAAGGGCAUAUGACUAAAGUUAAAUGGCUUGAAAGUGAAGACCUUGAUGUAUGGUUCAGGCAGCUCAUUAAACCACACUGGAAGCCCUGCUGUAUGGUACACACAAAGAACAUGGAAGAAAAGAAAACAUCCCUGGUUUUGAGGACACAUAGGCAGUAUGGGUCCUCACACAUGUACGACAUUUACCAUUCAUACUGUCUUCAUACCAAAGGCUUCUUAAUAAAAGAAAUACCAGAUAUGACUCCAGGGCUUUGUUUAAUGCAGGGUAGGCCAAAGGCAAUGGAAAGAAAUCUCUCAAAGUAAGCCUUCAGUGGAGUCAAUACUCCAGGUCCACAUUACUGGUAGAUCUUUAAGGAGUGUUGUAAGCUGAAUUCCAGCUGUUCACUAAAUAGACCACUUUCUUGGGAAGUAGCUGGCACAAGUUUCCUGUUAUUCUCUGUCCAUAAAUCUAGCCCCAAAAAAGUGAUAGGAAGGGGUUAAAGCCUUUAAGAAUGAAAGUAGCAUGAUGCACUUUUUAUCGAAAGAAUUUUUGGGAUUGCUAUGUAUAGGAUGUAGCAAAGGAAAGCCAGGGAGACUUGGGAGGCCAGUGAAGAGUGAAAGGGACAUCCAAACAAACAGACAAACAGACAAACCCCUAAACAAACAUGGUGGCAUUAGCAGGGGAAGAAGCUAUAGAAACCAAGAGUGGGAAAAGUCUAUAUGUGAAAAAGCAUAAUUUUAAAGAUUUGCAGGAAUGUUUGGAGAAUAACAACAUUCUACUCCCCCACCCCAACCCCUGGACUUCAAAUCUUCUCACUUACUCAAAAAAUCAGAACAAGCAAUUCAACAACAGUAAGAGCAAAAUAAAACCAUAUAUGAUCUAUUCCUUCAACAGUAGGCCAAAUACAUAGAAAUUACCCAUGAGAGGAGAGUCUGCCCACCAUUGUAUACCUGUGAGUGCAAAAGAAGAGGCCUACGAUGCUCUGUCAAAAGAGUGAGGAUGCUAAGUAGUGUCAACAAAAAUAAGGUUCCCCUCUCCACAGAAAUAUUUUUAUAGGAACUCAGAAUUAAUGUCAGUGAUUAAUUCUGGGAAGCAGUCAGUAAUUCACAGCAACCAAGUGAAUAUCACAAAAAGAAAUGGGCAAUUAAAAAGUGUUAGGGGCCCAGCAAGAUGAUUCAGUGGAUAAAGAUUCUUGUUGCCAAGACUAACAACUUUAGUUCAACCACUGGGAAAAAAACCCAUUUAGUAGAGGAAAGAACAAGUUUGUGCAAAAAUUACAGAAACUUGGGACAUUUUCACUUGUCCUUAAAUACUCAUCUUCCCUCUACUAAGCCUGGUUUGGUGGCACUGUUGCAGAUGAUAGGUAGUAUGGACCCUGGUCCUUGUUUCUGAAGUGUGCAGUACAGACCUUGUCUAAAAUAAUUAUUUAUGUUUUACAAUAAUUUUUUUUGUUUUAUAUUGUUUGUGGGUAGCCUGAAAGACUGACUUAAGGUGUUUUCAUUUUCCCCCCAAAUAGUAAUUGCGAAUUUUCUCAGUGUGAAAAAUAGUGGACAGUACUUGCAAACGCUGUAAGACCUUCAGAGCAGUUAUAAUGACUUGAGCAAAGAUCAGUGGUUGAAGCACACAGCGGCCCACUGAAAAGCCUCAGAAGGCAAUCUAGAGAGAGCUUCCUUGGAAUUUUAGAGCAUUUAAAAUAAUAGUAUGUGCUAAUAACUUACAAAACAUGCACAGAGCUAGAUGCUAAGAAGAGCCCUGACAAUACUACAAACCAGUAUCUAUGAGAGAUUUCUAUACGUAAGUUACCUCAAGCUACAAGUGAAAGCAAAGACAGGAUUGUUAAUAGUCUGUCCAAAUAUUGAAGGAAAAUUCCAGUUUAGUUAAUUUACAAAAGCUGGACGAAUCCUGCCCUCCUUUUAUACCUCGCUGUCAUAAUGAACUGAACAUAAAUGAAAGGAACAGAACUUCAAAGACCACACAUAACUUCACAAAAGAAAAAUAGCUUGGGAAUAAAUAAAAAAAAAGCUUAAAACCACUUAAGUAGCAUUAAAAAAUCUGGAGGCAGAAAAGAAUCUAAUGUCCACAGUUAUAAUAUAAAUAAUUGAAAAUAUAGAGCUUUAAACAAAGAAAAUAUGGACUAUACAGAGAAACAAUAACAAAGUUCCUUCCCACAGAAAGCCGAAAGAAGUAUAGACACACUGUACUUAACUUGACAAAAAAAUAAUUUUUAAUUAGGCUAGGAAUGUUUCAGCUGGAAAAGGGUCUUGAUACUUAAGCCCUGUGACCUAAGUUUGAGCUCCGAUCCCAUAUAAAGGUAUAAGGAAAGAACUACAUAAAAUCAGCCCCUAACCUAGAAAUGGGCACCAUGGCAUGUACAGUAAUCUCAUUGAUAAUAAAAUAAAAUUAGUCUAAGUUAUGCUGAAAGAUAAAAAGAAAAUGAUAAAGAACUAAAGAAAACAAAGAAUAUGAAGAAUGAGAUAAAAUUAGAAAAUGGAAUUAAACAAAUUCUAGAACUGAAAAGUAUUAACAAAUGAAAAAAUCCAUUAGAGGGUUUCAUCAGCAGAUCUGAAUGAUAUAAGAAUCAGUGGACUUAAGGAUCAAGUCUGAGCACCAGGGGGGGAAAAUGAGCAUUUCAAGAAUUCUAUGGUAAACUACCAAGUAUGCUAAUAUCUUUGUUGGAAAUCCCAAAAAGUAGGUGAAAGAAGGAGCAGGAAGAAGAAUUGACCUAGUGGCUAUGCCUCCCCAAAUUUGAUUAAAGACAAAAAUUACUAUGUACAGGAACAUAAGCAAAAGGACCCAGAAAUGAUAACUGAGUCACAGAAAAAUACACUAUCAAUUAUUGAAAGGCAGAACAGACGUUAAAAAGAAAAAAAAAGACUUUGCUUGUCAUGUAGUGAUUCUCAAUACAAUUAAUGUGUUUGUUAUCAGCAAGUAUAGAGUCGACUGAGAAUGGAAUAGCAUUUUUAAGUACUGAGAGGAAAAAAGUCUGUCAACCAACAAUUUUAUAUACAGCAAAAUUAUUCAAACAUGGAGAAAUAAUGAGCUUAAGAGCUUCUCAAAUGAAUAAAAGCUGGGAAGCUCAUACUAUAUUGGCUCUACAAAAACUAUUAGAGAAAGUAAUACAGUUUCAAAUAAGAAAGGACUAGAAAGUAACUGGAAACCACAUAGAGAUGCCCAGACCUUGAGGACCAGGUAGCUAUGUAAAACAUAAAAGCCAGUAUUAUAUAUAAUAUCUAAGUUUUUAAUGUUUAUUAUUUUUGUGAUAAAAGAACAUGAUAUAUACAUCUGGCAUAUAUAUCAUAUGUCUUUGGAUAUAUUCAUGCAAUAGAUAUAAAAUUUGAAACCAUGUAGAAUUGAAGGAGAUAGAGCUGUAUAGGAUCUUGAAUUAAUUUGUAAAAGUUGGAAGAAUCCUGCCCUCCUUUUUACCUGCUAUAAUGAACUAAACCUUAAUGAACCAAAUCUAAAUGAAAGGAACAAUAUUGAAACUAUGUUGGCAUAAACUCAAUCUAGAAUUUUGUAAAGUUAAGUGUAAUUAAUUCUCAUAAAAAUUAUUCAGAAAACAUCUGGAAAAGUAUAAAUCUCAACAUGUAAACAGCUUAGAAAUUACAGUAUCUCAACAAGUAAAAUGGUGAGUUGACUGAAAAGUCGAUUCCAUUUCUGUAUCAGAAAUGAAAAGAGUAAAACAAUGCCUUCAAAAUGAGGGGGGGGGGAGAGGUGAUGGGAGAUUGAAGGAGAGAGACAGGUAGACAUGGAGAAUCAGAACAUAUUACAGUAGACAUUGCUGGAAUCAGCUUGGCUAGAAAAACCUAAUUUGUGAUUUAACUGCUGGAGUUUAGAUGUAGAUAGAUGUAAGAACUAAAAAGUCAAAGGCACUAAGUUUUGGGAAGAGCCUUAACGUUUUCAUGAAGUACUUCAUCCAGGAGUUUGAUCAGAUUCUCAAUGCGAGUAGUAGAGAAAAAUUCCCUUGAAACUUUCAAUAUUGGGAGGGAGGAAAGCCAUUCUGAAAACAAACAAUAGUGUUUUUCGUCAAGGGUUUACCUUCAGGGAAAGUUAGUUUACUAGGUCUUAGCCAGCUAGGAUUUAUCACAAGCUAACUGAACUGACCUAAAGCAAUUCAAAUUAACUCUAGAUUUCUUGUGGAGUAGAAAUAACCAAACACCAGACCAGUUCACUUUAGCCAUCCUAUACCACCCAAGAAAAAAUAUUGAAGAAUGGUUGUGACAUUCAGUCAAGAGGCUCAGUAAAAGUGAGACCUAAACACAGAACUAUAGAAUGUUUCUUAUAUACGAAACCUUUCUGUAUUGUUAAUAAUGCCCAUUCAAUAGAAGUUCCUUUUGUCUGAUACAUCAUAUCUGCUGUCCACCUAUUGAAAAAAAAUACAAGGAUUCUAAAAGACAUUAACUUUUUAAAACAUAGCAGACAUUUCAGAUAUGUUGAAAUUAUCGGAGAUAUUUGAACUAUAAAACUAAGGACAACAUCCAAGGACAAUAGCAAGGAAGGAACCAAACUCAUAGGGAAAACACAAAAAGGGCUGGGAACCAGCAAUAGCAAUGUAUGAAAAAUACCCUCUGUAGACUCAUUUGAUUGCACACAGAUGAGAAAAAAAAUCAGAGUAUCUUUUUGUACAAACAACAAAAACUAAAAGACAAAAAUGAACAAAACAGUGAGAAUUUGGCUGAGUUGGUUAAGUGUUUGUCUUAUAUACGUAGGACCUGAGUUUGGCUCCCAAGUAAAAAAGUUAUCUAGUUAUCUCCAUUCCUGGGGCAGCAUUAGAAGACAUGUCAAUCCCUAAGAAUACUAGAAAUAGUCAUAUAGAAGCCAAAAACAAAACAAAAAUAAAAAACAAAUAGAAACCAUUUGAAACAACAGGAACUAAAAAUUUCCCCUAAAUUAUUAUCAUACAUUAAACAGUUCAGGAAGCUGAAAGAAUACCAAACAGGAUUAAUAACAAAACUUGCAUCUAAACAUAUCAUUAUCUACAGAAAAUCAAAUAUUUAAAAAGCCCUACAGGAACACCUACUAUAAAAUAGCAAUAGUACAAACCACAUCCAAUCUGUCCUCAGAAGCAAGAAGAGCGAAAUAACAGAACAAAACAAAUCGCUAUAUAUCAUUCUGCACUCUGCAAUUGUCUUAAGAUUGGCCAGUUAGGUAAGAUUUUGUUCAAAACAUCUAAAAAUGUGUUUAAUUAUGUUUAUGUAUACUUAAUUGAAAUGAAUGGUACCAGUGAUUUAUAGAGGAGUUAAUGGUUACUUUAGGUCAUACAAUGUAUGAAUUGGUAUGGUAUGAUUUGAAAGAGGGCUUAGCUUAGUUGAAAAUGUAUACAAGAUCCAGAGAAAUCACCCCAAAAUAAUGCUAGUAAACAAACUUUUCCAAAAACAGUAUUGCAAAUAUAUAGCAAAACAAGUUUGUAGUUACAGGUUGUAUCUUAGCAGCCUCCUGGGUCCAUUGUACCAGAAUCCCACAUAUAAAUCUCAUGUUUACAGUAGAUUUCAGAUUGGGAAAUCUGUUUUGCAUAGUCAUUGUUAUUUAAUAAGUAUCUUCACCCCAUUUUGUGGCAAUGCUAGUAGAGGAAAGUGAAUUGCUACUGAGCUAUAUCUCAAGACACUACCAUACCUUUCUAAUUGCACAAGCUCUAAUGCCAUCACACCUAAAAGAAGCUCUGAAUUAAAUACAAUAUAGUUCUUAACUCGUAGGUAUUACCUAAGAGACUUAAAGUGAUUUUUGAGCAGGCUAAAACCAACCAGCCACCACUACCACAACAAAAGAUAUCUGCUAACAAGCCAUCAGAUAGGAUAUAUCUAGUAGUAUUCCUGUUGUUGCCAUUGAUAGAAAAACAUAUCUCUCCCAGAACAUGAGAAAUAUGAGAAACAAAUUAGGGUAGGAUAAGGAAGGGAGAGUUGCUAUAUUUUCUUCUUGUUUGGGAGAGAUAGCUAUUUGUCAAAAGAAACCAACAUAAUACUAGAUAGAAACAUACCUCUCCGGAAUUAUAAUCUUGGUAAAGAGAAAAUUGGAAUAGGAAGGUGUGUUGACUUUCUGCAGCACAACUCUGUUUAGGGGAAAUGUCUGUUUGUCUUACCUGGCUUCUUGUAAAAGUAUGGUAGAUAAUAUGGCCCAUGAUAAUCUCAUUUCAAAGUUCCUAUCAAAGUAAGAUCUGCUUAUUCUCUAUAACCCUGUGGAUGAAGCCAUUUCAGAUAAAGAUGAGCAAAGGGUUACUAUGCUUUGAAGAGAAAUUACAGUAUUCAAAGAGAUCUUUAAGCCCAGACAUUGGAUUUACUAGACACAUACUUAAAGCAAUUAUUUUAAAGAGUUAAAUAUAUUGGUAAUCAUAAUAAAAAUAUAAGCUACAGACUAGGACAAAACAUUUAAAAAAUAUAUAAGGAGCUUCCCAAAACUUAAAAGGGCUGGGAAUGUAGCCUCACGACAAUAGGGUACUUGUCUAACAUGAACAAAACUUAAAAUUCUAUCCUCAUAAAUUGAAAAAAAUAUGUGUAUGACUGAAUUUUGCUUUCUGAUUUGAAAAACACCCAAACAAUAUGAAGUUAAUGAAUGGCAACUUUACCAAUAUGCAUCAGUUUUGCAGGAGAAACACCUCCAUUUAGCAUAGAUGUUAAAGACCCACAUCUUAAAUCCAAUCUCUAGAAGCACAAUGUUGAUGAAAGAAAGCCAGGCUUCCAAAGAACAUCAUCCCAUGCCUGAGUCAGUUUAGUAAAAUCUACAAAACUGGCCAAUGCAAAAUGAGCUCUAUUGUGAAGGAUAAAAAGACAAUGAAGAACAAGCAAUGGUAAGAUUAUGUUAGAUCAUCAAUUUGAGUACAUUGAUGAGAACUUCAAAACUAUCUAAGAAUGUGCAGUGAGGGGGGUAGGUAUCUUUUUGCCAUAUUCUCAAAUGAAAAAGCUUUAAAAAUGAAACAUUUUAGUUUAAACAUCUUAUUUCUUGAGGGUCUAAAAGAUUCUAAAGUUGUCAAUGUUCACUGAAACAAAAAAGAUGGUAAUCACAUGGAAAUGUCUUUUGUAAGAGGUUAAUAUACAGGGACCUCUUAGUUUUCACAAAGGUAGGAUUUAUGGGCAGGAUGAUAAACUUGUUUUCCUGAUAGACUUUCUUUUCCAGACUUAACAGGCAUAUGAGGAAAAAUGGUACACUGAGGCUAUGUAUAAGAAGAUAAUAGGCAACCUAAACAGAAAGCACCAUGCUUGGAUGGAUUUACUGAUAAAUUCUGACAAAUCUCAACUAUUUAAUGGAAGAAUGUAUACUAAAGGUUCUACAGUGUCUUUUAGAAGGUAGGAAAUAUUGCUUAACUCAUUUGUUGAGACCAAUGUUGCCCUUAUUUCUGUAGCAAACAACACAUUCCAAACAAGCUAAAUACCAGUAACUCAUGCUGUAUGUGUAAAACAAUACACUACGCAACAUUAAUAUGCCAAAUCCAAAAAUACCACAACUGCUCAGUGCUAUGGGACAUUAAAAACUAAGGUAAGUUAUCACAAGCAUAAAAUAAGUCACAGGAUUAUGUCACCAGACAGAAAUAUACAUCCGACAAAAAUCUUGACCAACCCAUGGUAAAAACAACAACUUUGGAACAUUUAGCCUCAGGUACGUAAUCAUAAGAAGUAAAAAGAACUUUUAUGAUUAUAUCACUGGAUACAUAUGAAUCUGACAAAAUUCUUUACUAACACAUGAUUAAAAAAAGGACCCUUGGAACAUUACCAAAUCAGGUAAGUAAUCACAAGAAGAAAAAAAAUGUUACAUGACAUGAUUAUAUUUCUGGAUACAAUAAUUCAUCUAGCAAAAUUCUUUACUAACUCAUGAUGUUUAAAAAGCCGUUUGGAACAUUAAAAAGUCAGGUAAGUAAUCACAAGAAGCAAAAAGAAGUUACAUGAUUAUAUUAUUGAAAUGCAUCUGGAAAAAUUUUAUAUCAAUUUUAAAAAAGCCCUCUAGAUUAUUAAAACCUCAGGUAAGUAAACACAAGAAGCAAAAAGAUGUUACAUGAUUAUAUAACUAGACAAAAAAUUUGACAACAUUCUUUACCAACUCAUGAUCAAAACAAAGAGCAUUAAAAUCUCAGGUAAGUAAUAAGCCAAAAGAAGUUACAUACUUAUUCACUGGAUACAAUUACCAACUCAUAAUAAAAGUAACAACAACCAACAACAACUCUACACAUUAAAAACUCAGGAUAGGGUUCACAAGACCCAAGGGGAAAAAAAAAAAGGUCUGACAACAUUAUUUACUAACUCAUGAUUAAAACAAAACAAACAGGAAAACUUCUGGAACAUUAAAUACUCAAGUAAGUGAUCACAAGAAGUAAAAAUAUCACUGGACACAAAAGUGCAUCUGAGAAAAUUCUUUAUUAACUUGUGAUUUAAAAUAAAGAAAAAGAAAAGAAAACCAAACAACUGGGGAUCAUUAAAAACUCAGGUAAGUGAUCAUAAGAAACAAGAAGCAAGAAAUAAGUUACAGAAAUCUGACAACAUUCUUUACCAAUAAUACCAAACAAAAAAUAAGCACACACAAAACCCUCUAGAAUAUUAAAAACUUAGGUAGCUGAUCACAAGACACAUGAAGCAAAAAAGAUAUUACAUGAAUAUUUCACUACACACAAAAACCUGACAACAUUCUUUACCAACUCAUAAUACAAAACAGAAAAAAAAAGCAUACAUAAGACAUCUGGAGCAUCAAAAGCUCAGGUAAAGAUGACAAGAAGCAAAAAGAAGUUACAAGAUUAUAUCACUGGACACAAAAAUGCAUCUACAAAAUUCCCUAUCAACUCAAGAUAAAGGAAAGAAAAGAAAAACCUAACAACUCUGGACCAUUAAAAACUCAGGUACAUGAUCACAAGACACAAGCAAAAAAGAAAUUACAUGAUUUCACUGACACAAAAAUGCAUCUGACAAAAUUCCUCAUCAACUCAAGAUGGAAGACAAGAAAAACCCAACAACUCAGAAACAUUAAAAACUUAGGUAAGUGAUCACAAGACGCACACACACACACACACACACACACACACACACACACACACACCCCACAGGAAGUUACAUGAUUAUUUCAGUAGACACAGAAACCUCACAUUCCUUAUCAACUCAACAUAAAAAACAGAAACAAAGCAAACACAAAAACCCUCUGAAACAUUAAAAACCAUGGUAAGUAAUCAAAAGACACACACACAAAACAACAAGAAGUUACAUGAUUAUUUCACUAGACACAGAAACAUGACAACAUUGUUUACCAUCUCAUAAUACAAAACAAACACAAAUCCUUUGGAAUAUUAAAAAAUCUCAUGUAAGUGACCACAAGAAGCUUAAAGAAGUUACAUGAUUAUAUCUUUGGACACAUGCAUGCAUCUGAUGAUUUUUUACCAACUCAUGGAUUUAAAAAGGGGGGAAAAUAAAACCCAACAACUCUGGAACAUAAAAAACAAAAAGUUACAUGAUUAUUUCACUAGACACAGAAAUCUGACAUUUACCAACUCAUAAUACAAAACAGAAGCAAGGGCUAGAAAGAUGGUUCAGUGGUUAAGAGCACUGACUGCUCUUCUAGAGGUCCUGAGUUCAAUUUCCAGCAACCACAUAGUAGUUAUAUAUCCAUCUAUAAUCUGACUCUCUCCUGACGUGUCUGAAGAGAACAACAGUAUGCUGAUAUACAUAAAAUAAAUCUUUUUAAAAACAAGCAAAACACAGAAACCCUCUGGAAACUUAAAAAGGUGAUCACAAGACACAGAUAGGCAAAAUGAAGUUACACGAUUAUUUCACUAGACACAGAAACCUGACAUUAUAAACUCACAAUAUAGGAACAAAACAAACACAAAACUCUGGAACAUUAAAAAACUCAGGUAAGUAAUCACAAGAAGAAAAAAAAAGUUACAUAAUUAUUACUGGACACAAGCAUGCAUCCAACAAAAAUUUUUAUCAACUCAUCUCAAAAACCCCAAGAACAUUGGAAUAUUAAAAGCUUAUAUAAGUGAUCACAAGACCCAAGAAGAAAUAACGAAGUUACAUGAUUACUUCACUAGACACAGAAAUCUGACAACAUUCUUUAUCAUCCCAUAAUACAAAACAGAAACAAAAAGACCACACAAACCCCUGGAACAUUAAAAACUGGUAAGUGAUCAGAAGAGACAAGAACCAGAAAAGAAAUUACAUGUAUGUAAUUUCACUACAUACAGAAACCUGACAACAUUCUUUAUGAACUCAUAAUACAAAGCAAAAAAGGCACACACACAAAACAUCUGGAAUAUUAAAAACUCAGGUGAGUGAUCACAAGAAGCAAAAGGAAGUUACAUGAUUAUAUCACUAGACACAAAAGUGCAUCUGACAAAAUUCCCUAUCCAAAAGAAAAAAAAAUCAGUAAACACUAUAAGGACGUCAUUAACUUUGUAAAUACCAUUUACCAAAAGUAUAUACCAAACAUAAUUGACAGGAAAAAAAGGGGAGGUAAGGAUGGUGCCCACUCAUUUUUCAAAAUCUUGUGGAAAACUCCUAAGUAAUGGACCAAAAUAAAGGGAAUAUAUAUUUUGUUUAAAAGGAGCAAAGUUUUGUUUUAAGUGGCAUUAUCUAUGUAGAUAAUAUGAAAGGACACAUAUACAAAUUCUGCAACUAUUAAGGGACCACAGCAAGGUUACAUGACUCAAAAUAUACAAUAAUCAGUUACUUUCCUAUAUGCCCCAAGUUAACGAGUGGAAUUUGAAACAAAGUACAUUAUUGCUUUGGCAUCACCAAAAUAAACAGAUAAAAAUAUGUACAAUAUAUUUUCAAUAUUUAACAUAUUGAAAAAUUCAAUAUUGCCAGAUGUCCAAUAACCCAUGCUGAUCCCCACAUUAAAUGCAACCUUAAGCAAACACAAAUGUUUUAUCAGUAUUGGAAAAUGGACUCUAAGGCUACUGUGGAGGAAAAGGAUAGAAUAUGAAACAUAAUAUUAAAGGAUAAUUUAAAAUUAACCUAUUUUAAUGCAUUGCUGUAAAGCUUUGGGGAUCCAGAAACUAUAUUACUUGUAAAAGAAUAGGUAAGUAAAGAUGAAAGGAAAAGAAAAUAGCAUGUUAAAAUACAAUCUAAGUUCACUCAACUAAUCUGUAGUAAAGGAACAAAAAUAAGAAUGGAGAAAAAUGUUCUUUUUUUUUUCAACAAAUGGUGAUAAAAUAAUGAUAGCCACAUGGAAAAUGUAAGAAUCUAGAUACAGACUUUAUACCCAAUAAAUAAAAAAUAAGUUGAGAAUGGAUCGCAGACAUCAAUGUAAAAGUAGAAAAUAGAAAAUAUCUUCACAUAAUACAGACCUAAAAAAAUUCCAAACCUUGCACUAAAGAACUAAGUCAUUUUGCAUUUGUAGUUUGAUAUUAAGAAAAAAAAAACAUGUUAAACUGUUGCCACCUCUAUUCAACAUAAUGGUGAAUGGUUUAACUGGAUCAAAUGGAUUAGCUGGACACAUGUAACACAUGUAAAUUGGAAAGGAAGUAAUAAACAAGAUUCCUCAUAAGAUUGUAUAUGGUAAAUUCAGUAGUGCAAAAGAAUAUCAGUACACAAGUUUCAUUUCUAUACAUCAAAAUUGAUAUUUAAGAGUACCAUUGACAUAAUUUCAUUUGAGGCAGCAGUAUGUUAUCCACAGCUUUGAUGGCCAGGCUACCUCGUAAUUAUUCUUGAUUUCAUAGAUGAUAAAUCUGAAAAACUAUAUUGUUUUGCCCUUACUACAAUAGGAACCACUGCAUCCAACCAAUUCUUGAUUCUUGCACUUAAAUAGGUCUUAGCUCAUUCAUACCAGAUUGUAAAUACAAUGGAUGUAUACCAAAAUUAAGGAACACUGUCCCAAUAUAAUGAGAAAUACUAAAAACCCAAAGAGAGCCGGGAAGAUAUCCAUUUGGUAAAGCAUUUGGCAAAAUGCUUUUAAAGCAUGAGGAUCUGAGGGUGAGCCCUGGAACUCAUGUGAAAAUGUCAUGUAUAUUGGAUGUUUGCAGUCACAGUGAUGGAAUGGAAGGAAGAGAAUCCAAAGAGUUUAGUAAUUUGGCAGUCUGGCCUAUUUGGUCAAGUCGAGACUAUCUCAAUGGAGGUGGAUAGCAUUUCUAGUUAAGAAAGUGGAGGCUGUCCUCUGACUUAGAACACAUGAAUAUGCACAAACAUGCACCUACAUAUAUAUCUUUGUAUAUAAAAGAACAAGGCCAUUAUCAAAGAAAUACAAGUCAUGUUCCAGUAACCGACUCCAAAAAACCAGGCACAUUAACUUAGUGACAAUUUAAAAUGAGUUAAGAAUAGCCAACUAAAAGAGAACUGGGAGAGUACAAUCUGAAAAACAAUACAUGAACAAAUGAGUUUCAAUAAAGCUAUAGAAAGCAAAGCCAAAUUCUGGAGGUGAAGAGUACAGUGAAAGGAAAAUUGUAAGACUGGCUCAAAACAAGAUUUUUCAAUUAAAACUGGAAACCUUGACCUUGAAAAGAACACUUGGACCAAAUGGAUUUAACAGAUCUAUAGAACAUUUUAUCUCAAAACAAAAGAAUAUAUCCUCUCAGCACCUCAUGAACCUUCUCCAAAAUUGGCCAAAUAAUCACACACAAAAAGCCUUAAAGAAUCCAAGAACACUGAAGUGAUUCCAUGCAUUCUAUCAGAUCACCACAGACUAAGGCUGGACUGAAAUAACAACAAAAACAAUGAAAAUCCCACAUACUCAUGGAAACUGGAUGCUCUAGUCAAUGAUAACUUGGUCCAGGAAAAAAUUUAAAACUUUCUAGAAUUCAAUGAAAAUGAAAGCAUAGCAUACCCAGACUUAAUGGGACACAAUGAAAGCAGUGUUGAGGACAAUAGCACUAAGCGCCUUCAUAAAGAAACUGAUCCUAUACUAGCAACUUAUAGCACACUUGAAAGCUCUAAAAUGAAAAGAAGUAAACACAUCCAAAGGGAGUAAAUGGCAAUAAAUAGCCAAACUCAAGAUUGAAAUCAACCUAUUAGAAACAAACAAAAUACAAAAACUCAACAAAACCAAGAGCUGGUUCUUUGAAAAACACCAACAAGGUAGAUAAACCCUUAGCCAAACUAUCUAAAGGGAACAGAGCCAGUAUUCAGUUUAACAAAAUCAAAAAUGUAAAGCGAGACAUUGAGGAAAUUGAAAAAAACAUUAGAUCUUACUACAAGAGACUUAACAAAACUGGAAAAUCUAGAUGAAAUGGUUGGCUUUCCAGACAGAUACCAUGUACUAAAGUUAAAUCAAGAUCAGGCAAACUAAAACAAGAACAAACAAACAAAAACCAACCAAACAAACUACAAAAAAAACAGCCCAGCGCCAGAUGGUUUUAGUGCAGAAUUCUACCAACAUUAAAAAAUGAGCUAAUACUAAUACUCAAACUAUCCCACACAAUAGAAACAGAAGGAACACUACCUAAUUCAUUCUGCGAAGGCACAGUUACUCUGACACCUAAAUCACACAAAGACUCAACAAAACUUCAGACCAGUUUUGCUUUUGAAUAUUGACACAAAAAUACACAAUAAAAUUCUUGCAAAUUCAAUCCAUAAACAUAUCAAAGCCAUCAUUUACCAGGAUCAAGUAGGCUUCAUCCCAGGGCUUCAGGAAUGGUUCAAUAUAUGAAAAUCCAUAAACAUCAUCCACCAUAUACACAAACAGAAAAAAAACAUGAUUAUCUCAUUAGAUGCUGAAAAGGCCUUUGAUAUUAAAAUUCUUGGAGAGAGCAGGAAUUCAUGGCACAUAUCUAAACAUAAUAAGAGCAAUAAAUAGCAAACUGACAACCAACAUCAAAUUAAAUGGAGAGAAACUUGAAACAAUCCCACUAAAAUCAGGAACAAGUCUUCCCACUCUCUCCCUGUCUUUAAUAUAGUACUCAAAAGUUCUAGCUAGAGUAGUUAGACAACAAAAGAAUCAAGGGGAUAUAAAUUGGAAAGGAAGAAGUCAAGUUAUUACUAUUUGCAGAGAACUCCUACAGCGGAUAAACAACUUCAGCAAAGUGGCUGGAUAUGAAAUUAACGGAAACAAAUCAGUAACCUUCCUUUAUAUAAAUGAUAGAUGGGCUGAGAAAGAAAUUAGGGAAACAAAACCCUUCACAAUAGCCACACAUAAUAUAUCUUGGUGUAACUUUAACCAAGUGAAAGAUCUGAAUGACAAGAAGGGGAACGGGGAGUGGGAGAGAGGAACCUGAUCUUGUAUUGGGUGAGGGAAAAGGACUGAAGCCCCAAGGGCCAGCAGAAAGAAUGUAAACAGGCAUCCUCAGGAAAUAGGAGGUUGGGGGACCCCCCCCCAGAACGUACCAUUGACCUGGGAGGUGAAAGACUUCCAGGACUCAAAGUGAGGGACCUUAGAUGAAAUGCCUGACAGUAGAUAGAGGGAACUUAUAAACUCCAGCAGGAAGACAGGACAUCAAGUGAGGGAUGGGAUUUCCAUCCCACAGUCACACAUCUGACCCAAAAUCGUUCCUGUCUGAAAGAAUUACAAGGAUGGAAAUGGAGAGGAGCCUGAGGAAAAGAAGGUCCAUUGACAGGCCCAAAGAGGGAUCCAGCUCACGGGGAGAUCCCAAGGCCUGACACUACUACUAAGGCUAUAGAGUGCUCACAACAAGGGAUCUAUUAUGAAUGCUCUCUGAAAGACCCAAAAAAACAGCUGAAAGAAGCAGAUGCAGAUAGUUGCACCCAACCAAUGGAAAGAAGCAGUUGACCCCUGUUGUUGAAUUAGGGAAGGCUGACAGAAGCUGAGGAGAAGGGUGAUCCUGUAGGAGGACCAGCAGUCUCAAUCUGGACCCCUGAGAUAACCCAAACAUUGGACCACCAAACAGGACAUACCAACUGAUAUGAGGUCCCCAACACACAUACAGGAGAAUUCCGGAUCUGUGUUCAUUCAGAGAUGAUGAACUUAAACCUUAAGAGAGUGGAAGCCUCAGGAAAUUGGGGAUGGAUGGGGGGGGGGUGACAAAUAGAAUAUGGAGUGUAAAAAUUAAUUAAAAAUAAUUUUAAAAAGAACUUCAAGUCCCUAAAGAACAAAGAUGAAAAGAUCUCCUCCCAUGCACAUGGACCUGUGGAUUAACAUAAACAUCUUACCAAAAGUAAGCUACUGUUCAAUGCAAUGCCCAUCAAAGUUCUAAUACAGUUCUUCACAGACAUGGAAAGAGUAACUCUCAACAGAGUUACUCAACAUCAUAUGGAAAAACAAAGACCCAGGAUAACAAAAACAGUUCUUAACAGUAAAAGAUCUUCCGGGGAAAAUAAUAAUUCCUGGCCUCAAGCUGUACAAUCAAGCAAUUGUGAUGAAGAUCACGUGGUAUUGGUACAGAGACAGAAGUUGCCCAGUGGAAUAGAAUCGAAGACCCAGAAAUAAACCCACACACCUAUGGACACUUGAUCUUUGAUAAAGAGGGCAUCUGAAAUCAAGAAAAUAGAAAAGUGAAAAGAUCUCCUUGAGGGUUCGUGGAAUGAAAUCAUGAUCAUUAAAUUUCCCAAUUGUAGAGUUUAAAUAGAAGAGACAGAGAAAGAAAAUUCAUUUGAGUACAUAAACUAUUGAGAACCAGGCCAAUCCAAAGCAUUCUCAGAGGCCCUAAUGAAGGAGAAAAGUAAUCUCUUUAUUCCAAACUUUAAUCUAUCCCCUAUUUUUUGAAAACCUGAUCCUCUCUCUCAAGGUUCUGUUACUGAAGGUUUGCCAGCUAGUCCAUGCCAGUAAAUAAUCAUUGAAAAUUCAGAUAUAUGAACAAAAUGGACAUUCAGGUAUAUGAUAGGUUCAAUACAACAAUGUAGACAACACACAUUAAAGAUUGAAAGAUUAAUUCUAUCAGUGCAUUUCUUAGCAUAUAUCAAAGUAUGAAAUUCACUGGUUAAGUAUAGAGGUAAAACAAAACAACCAGCCAAACAAAAGACAGUCACAAACCUCAUUUUAGAUUUAAGAGCAUAUAGACUGAAAAACAAAAUAGAAACUAGCAAUACAUUACACAUGGAAAACAGGAGUGACAAAAUUAUGAAGAUAUAGUCACUAUAUAAUAAUAGAAUCCAUUAAUGGUGAGGUCUAACAUUUGUAACAAUAUCUGUCUUAAAACUUAAAACAUAAACCUGAAAAGAUUAUCCUUUAGCAUUCUCCACUUAUAGUAGUGGAUAACUCAUCUGUACAAAGAAUCACUAGAGAACCAUUUGAGAUAUAUAUCAAUAAAUAAUAAAUAAUCUAAGUUUACAUCUCAUGGAACUAUAAAGGAAAAAACCCUAUCCUACAUGUCAAAGGGAUAAAAAGACAGGCUAGUGCAGGUAUAAAUUAAAGACAAAAAAUUAAUUCACCUUCAAACUCUUUAAUAAUUGAAGAUAGAAUAGUUCUAAACCAAUUAAUCAUUCAGAAAAGGCCAAAGUCAUCAACAGUGUUCCAGUAAAACAAAGUUUCAUGGACUAAUGUCACAUCUACCCCUAUUUUACAAGAGUCUUUUAGCUGUACUACAGAGCAAUUGUGAUAAUUAGUAAUUAUCUUAAGAGAUAAAGAAAUUUUAUGAUAAAAAUGUCAUAUUUAGAGCUGAAAUGUUUUAAUGGAGCACAUGUGUGCAACGCUUACAGUAAAUAUUGAGUAACUGAAUUAUUUUCUUGAACUAAAGUAAGAAAAUGAUACCUAUGGAACGGGUAAUAUGGCUAGUAGAUAAAAGGCAAUUGCUGCCAAGCCUGAUGACCUAAACUGAAUCCUUGGGACUGCUAUGGUAGAAAUGACUUUUUUAAGUUGUCCCUUUAUGAUCACAUGAGUGUAAAGGCAUUUGCACAUGCAAAUGCAUGAACACAAACACAAUAAAUAAAUAAAUAAUUUUUUUUAAGUAAGUUAUUCCCUUUUUUACCAAUUGGAUUCAAGAUAAUGUUGAAAGUUCUAGCUAGAGGAAUUGAGGAUGGGGAGUGAGAUAUAUAAAUAAGAAAGGAAAAAAUAAAAUGUAUAUUUGCAAAUGAUAUAAUUGUACAGAAAAAUGUUAUUGCCUAAAGAAUUAUUACAGUCUUCAAAUCAAAGUUCAAUAUAUAAAACACACAAGAAAUAUCUACAUUUCUUUAUAUUAACAGUAAACUACCCAAAAGGGUAAUUAAGAAAGCUCUUAAGAAAAUAGUACCUCAAAUCAGAAAUAAACAUUGAAUAUAUCAGUUAGUUUGGACAAGAGUAUCAUAACCAUUUAUCAACAAAGGUCUGUUAUUUGAACAAAUAGUUUUGGGGAAAAUGGGUAUUAAGAUUUAGGAAAAUGAAUGUAGCACCUUUAAAUUACAGUAUAUAAAAUUAACUUAAAAGGGAUCAAAAAUAUAAAUGUAAGUAUAAAUUUUGAAGAAAAAUUACAUUAUAUGGGGCAUUANNNNNNNNNNNNNNNNNNNNNNNAUUAAUUUCAUGAAUAUAACACCAAAGGUAUAGACAACAAAAGACUGAACUUCAUGAUAUGUAGGCAUAAGUUUAACCACAGCAGCAAAAUUUUUGUUUACUAAAAAUAAAUACUUAUGAAAAAAUUGAAGAUGACAGUAAUAGAUGUAUAUUUGUUACCUCUUUGUGGAUCCAAAGACUUUCAGCACAUUCAUGCAGCCCAAAGUAAUGCGCAGAUUGAAAAUGAUUUUAUUCUAGUUUUAUGCUUUCUUUAGAUAAGUAAAAUUCUAUAAACAUAUGAAAUCACAAGAAAAGUUGAAUAGCUGAGCAUUUAUGACAUUAAAAAUAGCUGGAACUAUCACCCACCUUGAUUAACCUACUCACAGGGAAAGACCAAUUGUAAGCAAUGCAGAUCCUUAUAUUGACACAUAGAUGGACAAUUUACCUUUCACACAGGAAUUAUGAAUAAACGAUGAGAACAGAAUACUCAUCAAAAGAUGGUAUGUAAAUCCUGGAUAUGAAAAUGAAAAAAAUUGAAAUUGGUUCUAUUCCAUAAUCAUAUUAACCCAAAGUAUGUUAAAGAUUUAAUUCUAGAUGAGAACUCCUAGAAUAAACUAAUUUUAACAGUGAUCUUAACAAUUACUUUUUAAGAUACAACAUCAAAUGCCUAGAAAUAAAUACAAAGUUGCUGCCUAUCACAGGUUUGGUAGUAUGAAGGGGAAACAAAAAUAAAAAAGAUAACAUACAUAAUGGAAUAAAAUAUUUCCAAACUACAUCUAAUGUGUUAACAUAUAAACUAUAAAAAUAACAAAUAUUUCAAUAGCAAAUGAUAACAAAAAUUAUCUAAAUAUGACUCAGACAAAAGACAGAGUUAACCAUUUUCCAACAUACCCAUACAAAGUAUUAAGAAGAAUACAAGAAGUGCUCAGUAUCACUAUCUGGGGAAUGUAACUCAGAACAAUCAUGAUAAUACCUCAAAUAUUUUAUGAAUUAUUUUUAAAAGUCCAAAAAAUAGUGAAGAUAUGGAAAAAUGAAAAAUCUGAUUCUAUGUUUGAGGUGAAUGUAAAUUGACAUAACAAGAUAUAAAUGUAAUAUAAAAUUGAAUGUAAAUUGGCAUUUGAAAAAAAUUGAAGCACCUAAUACUGUGUCUUUGUGCUCGAGUAGAAUGACAAGUUGUUAUGGUCACCAGCAUUUGUCUCAUACAAGGAACACGCUAAUGUUACAGUUAACUGUAAAGUUCACUGGCUUUAAAAUACACCUAAAUUUAACAACAAAAGAUUGAAGAUAUAAGCUGAGUGAGACAUCUCAUAGAAAGAAUGUACCUUAAAAUCUACCAAUCAUAGUUCAAUCUUUAGAACACACAGAAAAAGAGAGGAACAAAUCCCAAAAUUUGUCAAAUGACCUCUACAUAUGAGCUAUGGCACACAUGCACCCAUAGUCCAAUAUACACACAAUAAUAAUGACAAUGAUAAUAAUAAACAAAAUAAAACAAUUUCAAUUUUAAAAUGAAAAAUAAGUCAUGGAUGGUUUAAUCAAUGUUUAGAUAACUUGUAAUUUUUAUCAUAACAUUAUUCAUAUUAAUCAAGAUAUAAUACUGUGUCAAAAUGGAUACAAUGGAUAAAAUUAACAGAAUGUUUAAUCUCAAAAAAGAAGUCAUUUACUUUGUGACAGUAUGGAUGAACUAAGGUUAAACUGUGAAUUAGAAAGAACAAAUACUUCAUGUUCUCACUAUAUGUGUAAUCUAAAAAUGUUAAACUCUAAAAGCUGAAUAUAAGAUUGGUUAGUAAUUUAGACUUGGGUCUUAAAGAAAACAUUGGUUGAAGGAAUUAUAGUUAUAAGAUGAACAAAUUCAGCAUUGUAAACCUCAUUCUCUACAAUCUAUAUUUAGAACUUGAUGAAUAUAUCUUAAAUACUUGCAGAACACCAAUGUAAAAUCUAUGUGGACUGAUACAGUAGUUUCAUUGUAUUAGUAUAUUUAUAAUCAUAAAGUUUCAGAGCGUGUGAAUAGAUAUUGCAAAUUGUGUCUCAAUACAACUAUUAAAACCUCAAAGCAUCAAGGGGUGAAAAAUAUUCAGCAAUUAAAUUAAUUAAGAUGGAGGAGGGUUAUAUACUUAAAACUACAAAUUAUUGCUAAAGAUAAAUAAAAAUAGUCACCAUUCAUAAAGUUGAAGGUAAUAUAUAAAUACUACACAAAGCAUUUUAUGCCCUCAGGGCAUCCAUAAUGAAUAUCCAAAUGUCUACAGAAAUUAGAAAAAUCCAUCAUAAUAUUCACAACCUUUAGAUAAUUACACAAAACUGUUACAUGAUCAUGGUCUUCAAAUUAAGCACAAACAGUGCUGAGGGACUCCAUUUUCUAACAUCAAAUGGUCUUACCAUGUUACCAUUGAGAAAAGUGAAUGAUAGUAAUUUAAAUAAUUUAAAGAUAGACUUACAGAUCAAUGGAACAUAUUAAAAGAGAGAACUCAGAAAUGAUCCUUGGUGUACAUGACAUUUUACAGUGUUGGCCAGACUAAUUUAAAAAGAAAAAGUCAUCUUGACAAUAUAUAGUGCUGGUAAAACUAGACAUCCUUAUGUAAAAGGGUAAAUGUUGGAUCUUUACUAAAAGCAUAUAUAAAAAUUAAUUCAAGGUCUGUCAAAGACCUAAACAUGACCUGAGAAGUAUAGAAUUCAUGGAACUGGCAGUGACUUCUUAGAUGUGAAACUUGGGGGGAAGAAUAUAGAAAACUCUAUGAGUAUUUUAAAUGUUUGAACAUCAAAACACUAUUUCUCUAUAAAAACCCAACCACAAAGAGUAAAGCAUUUGCAAGUUACAUAUCUGAUAAGUGAUUAAUAUCUGUUAUUUACAGAAAAAUGCAUUACUUAUAUAAGAUCAAUUCAAAGUAGGUAAAAGACCUUGAGAAGUAUCAUAAGAACAAUUAUAAAUGACAUGUAUACACAUAUACUAAUGUGAAUAUCAAUUAUUAAUGAAAUGUACAUCAAAACUCUAAAAACAGGAUCACUGAGAUCGCUCAUCAGGUAAAAGUGCUUGCUGUCAAUUGAUGCAAGACUGACGAUCUAAUUGUCCUUGAAACCUGUAUGAAGGUGGAUGAAGAGAACUGACUCCAUAGUAUUAUCAUCUGAUCUGCAUAUAUACCAUAUGCAAUGUGAACCGCCCCCACAUCUAACUAUAAUUAAAUAUACCUCACAAUCACAUAUCAUUUCAUGAGAGAGAGAGAGAAAGAGAGCAGAGAAGAGCUUCAUCAAGACAUAUUACAAUAAAAAAGUCUAAAAAGAAAAGUGAUAAGUCAUUUAUACUAUUAUGGACUACAGUAGAUUUCAAAGAUGAAAUUCUACAGGCUAUGAGGUGAUGAAGUAAGAUAUUCCAAGUUCAGAAGCAAAGCAAAUUCCAACCAUUAAGUUCAAGGGCAUUGUUAGAAAUGAAGGAGAAAUAAUGCCCAUUUAAAACAAGCAAAAUCUGAGGGAAUCCCUAAGCAAUAGACCAGCAAGCAUUAUAAAACCACAAAAAUGAGAGACAAGAAAAGUACUCAACUAAAAGACAGCAAAAUCAUGAAGACAUCAGUUAUCCAUAAUAACCUUUGAUAUAUAUAAGAUACUUCAAAUUCUGUAGCCAUGGUAGCACACACCUUUAACCGUAGCACUCAGCAGGCAGAAGCAGAUAGAUCUCUAUGAAUUUGAGUUCAGUCUCGUCUACAUAACAAGUUUUAGGACAGCAAGGACUACUUGGAGCAACCUUGCCUACAAUGUGUGAUAUCUACAAAAAAUAUGAGAUGGUACUAUAGACAAAUGGUCAAGAUGAUUAUUUCAAAACUAUAUUUGCUCAUUAUUGGAGCAUAUAGUUUUAUAAAACAACAUCAGACAGAAGCAUAUGUGAGAGUUGUCAUCAUCAUACUGUGUCAAUGCGUUAUCCAGACUCUCCCUUUCAAAAAAGGCAAAAAUCAAUGAAAUCAGACUCCCUUAAAGAAAUACAGAAGAACAAAGGUAAACAUCUAGAAGCCCUGAAAGAGGUAACACAAAACAAUCCAGGAUCUAAAAAUGGAAGUAGAAACAAAGAAGAAAUCACAAAGGGAGACAACCCUGGAGAUUCAAAACCUAGGAAAGUGAUCAGAUGGUGAAAGGCAAAUACAAGAAUCUUACCAACAGAAACCAAGACUACUUGGCAUCAUCAGAACCUAGUACUCCCACAUCAGUGAGUCCUGGAUACCCCAACACACCCAAAAAGCAAGAUUUGGAUUUAAAAUCAUAUCUCAUGAUGCUGGUAGAGGAUUUUUAGAAAGGACAUUAAUAACUCCCUUAAAGAAAUACAGGAGAACACAGCUAGACAGGUAAAAGUCCUUAAGAGGAAACACAAAAAUCCCUUAAAGAUUACAAGAAAACACAACCAAACAGGUGAAUUGAACAGAACCACCCAGGAUCUAAAAAUGGAAGUAGAAACAAUAAGGAAUCACAAAGGGAGACAACACAGUAGAUAGAAAUCCUAGGAAAAAUCAGGAGUCAUAAAUGCAAGCAUAACUAACAGAAUACAAGAGAUGAAAGAAAAUCUCAGAUACAGAAGAUUCCAUAGAAAACAUGGGCACAACAAUCAAAAUGAAAAAUGGAAAAAGAUCCUAACUCAAAACAUCCAGGAAAUCCAGGUCACAAUGAGAAGACCAAACCAAAAGAUAAUAGGUAUAGGUGAGAAUGAAGAUUAUUGACUUAAAGGGCCAGCAAAUAUCUUCAACAAAAUUAUAGAAGAAAACUUCCCAAACCUAAAGAAAGUGAUGCCCAUGAACAUACAAGAAGCUUACAGAACUCCAAAUAGCUUGGACCAGAAAAGAAAUUCUGCCUGACACAUAAUAAUCAAAACACCUAAUGCACAAAACAAAGAAUAUUAAAAGCAUUCAGGGAAAAAGAUCAAGUAACAUAUAAAGGGAGCCCUAUUAGAAUUACACCAGAUUUCUCACCAUAGACUAUGAAAGGCAGAAGAUAUUGGACAGAUGUUAUAGAGAUACUAAGAGAACACAAAUGCCAGCCCAGGCUACUAUACCCAGCAAAACUCUCAAUUACCAUCGAUGAAGAAACAAAGUAUUCCAUGGAAAAACCAAAUUCACACAAUAUCUUUACAUAAAUAUAGCACUUUAAAGAAUAAUAAAGGGAAAACUCCAACUCAAGGAGGGAAACUAUACCCUAGAAAAAGCAAGAAAGUAAUCCUUCAACAAACCUAAAAGAAGAUAGCCAUACGAACAGAAUCCCAACUCUAACAACAAAAAUAACAGGAAGAAACAAUUACUUUUCUUUAAUAUCUUUUAGUAUCAAUGGAUUCAAUUACCCCAAUAAAAAGACAUUGACUAACAGACUGACUACAUAAACUGGACCCAACAUUUUGCUGCUUACAGGAAACCCACCUCAGGGACAAUGAAACUACCUCAAAGUAAAAGGCUGGAAAACAAUUUUCCAAGCAAAUGGUCCCAACAAACAAGCUGAAGUAGCGAUUCUAAUAUUGAAUCGAUUUUCAACCUAAAGCUAUAAAAAAGACAAGGAGGGGCACUUCAUAUUCAUCACAGGAAAAAAAUCUCAAUUCUGAACAUCUAUGCUCCAAAUGCAAGGGCAUCUACAUUAAUUAAAGAAAUUUUAGUAAAGCUCAAAGCACAUAUUACACCUCAAAUAAGUAAUAGUCUGUGACUUGAACACCCUACCCUCAUCAAUGAACAGAUCAUGGAAACACAAACUAAACAGAGACAGAGUGAAACUAACAGAAGUUAUGAAACAAAUGGAUUUAACAGAUAUAUAGAACAUUUCAUCAUAAAACAAAAGGAUAUACCUUCUUAUUAGCACUUCAUGGCACCUUCUCUAAAACUGACCAUAUCAUCAGACACAAAAAUAUUGAAAUAAUUCCAUGCAUCCUAUCAGAUAACCAUGGAUUAAGGCUGCUCUUCAAUAACAACAUAAAUAAUAGAAAGCCAACAUACAUGUGGAAUCUGAACAACACUCUACUCAAUGAUAACUUGGUCAAGGAUGAAAUAAAGAAAGAAAUUAAAGACUUUUAAUGAAAAUGAAGCCACAACAUACCCAAACUUAUGGGACACAAUGAAAGCAGUCCUAAGAGGAGAAGUCAUAGCUCUGCUCUGCGUGCCUCCAAAAAGAUACUGGAGAGAGCAUACACUAGCAGCUUGACAGCACACCUAAAAUCUCUAGAACACAAAAGGGCGCAAAUUCACCCAAGAAAAGUAAAUGGCAGGAAAUAAUGAAACUCAGGGCUAAAAUAAACUAAGUGGAAACGCAAAUAACUAUACAGAGAAUCAACCAAACCAGGAGCUGUUCCUUUCAGAAAAUCAACAAGAUAGAUAAACCAGACUAACUAGGGGACACAGGGACAGUAUCCAAAUGAACAAAUUCAGAAAUGAAAAGGGAGACAUAACAGAAUCUGAGGAAAUAAAAAAGAUCACCAGAUCCUACUAAAAAAGCCUAUACGCAACAAAACUGGAAAACCUGGAGUUGGGCAUGGUGGCACAUGCCUUUAAUCCCAGCAUUUGGGAGGCAGAGGCAUGUGGAUUUCUGAUUUCAAGGCCAGCCUCUUCUACACAGUGAGUUCCAGGACAGCCAGGGCUAUACAGAAAAACCCUGUCCAAAAAAAAAAAAAAAAAAAAAAAAAAAAAAAGCCCAGGAUCAGAUGAGUUUAGUUCAGAGUGCUAUAAGACCUUCAAAGAAGACCUAAUUCCAAUUCUCCUCAAGCUUUUCCACAAAAUAGAAACAGAAGGUACUCUACCCAAUUUGUUCUAUGAAGCUACAAUUGCUCUGAUACCUAAAUCACACAAAGAACCAACAAAGAAAGAGAACUUCAGACCAACUUCCCUUAUAUAUUUUGAUGUAAAAAUACUCAAUAAGAUUCUCACAAACAGAAUCCAAGAACACAUCAAAAUGAUCAUCCAUCACAAUCAAGUAGGCUUCAUCCCAGGGAUGCAGGGAUGGUUUAAUAUACAGAAAUCUAUCCAUGUAAUGCACUAUAUAAACAAACUCAAAGACAAAAACCACAUGAUCACCUCAUUAGAUGCUGAGAAAGCAUUUGACAAAAUCCAACACCCCUUCAUGAUAAGAUUCUUGGAAAGAUCAAGAAUUCAAGGCCCAUACCUAAACAUAAUAAAAGCAAUAUACAGCAAACCAGAAGUCAACAUCAAACUAACUGGAGAAAAACACAAAGCAAUUCCACUAAAAUCAAGGAGUAGAGAAGGCUGCCCCACUGUCUCCCUACCUUUUCAAUAUAGUACUUGAAGUCCUAGACAGAGCAAUUAGACAACAAAAGGAGAUCAAGGGGAUACAAAUUGGAAGGUAGAAGUCAAAAUAUCACUAUUUGCAGAUGAUAUGAAAGUAUUUAUGUGUGUGUGUGUGAGUAUAUAUAUAAAAAAAAUUUUUACCAGAGAACUAAACCUGAUUAACAACUUCAGUGAAGUAGCUGGAUAUAAAAUUAACUCAAACAAAUCUUUCUCUACACAAAGGAUAAAUGGGCUGAGAAAGAAAUUAGGGAAGCAACACCCUUCACAAUAGUCACAAAUAAUAUAAAAUACCUUGGUGUGACUUUAAGGAAGUGAAAGUUUUGCAUGACAAGAACUUCAGGACACAGCUUCUGGGACAGGCCCUGAUUUGAGCUGCAGACAUCGGGCACCUUCCCUGCCAGAGGAGAGGUGACCACCCAAGAGGCCUCUGACCACCAGAGCAGGUGAGGGAGCCAUCCUGUGUCCGGGUCCCUCUGAGACCAGUCUGCGCAGAUCUUCUCACGGAAUGCAUAGGGUGAGCAACAGGAUUGUAGAAGCGACACAGCUUCUGGGACAGGCAGAAGUGACAUGGCUUCUGGGACAGACCCCGUUUCAGGCUCCAGACAUCUGGGCACCUUCCCCACCAGAAGAGAGGUGACCACCUGGGAGGGCUCUGACUGCUGGAGCAGGUGAGGGAGCCAUCUUGUGUCCUGGGUCCCUUGGAGACCAGUCUGUGCAGGUGAGUACACAGACUACAGAAGCAACACAUCUUCUGGGACAGGCCCUUUUGGGGGCCUUCAUCUUCAGACAGAAGGUAGUUCUGAAUGCCAGACCUCUGUGCACCUUCUCUGCAAGAGGAGAGCUUGCCUGCAGAGAGUACUCUGACCACUGAUACUCAGGAGAGAGCUGGACUGCUGACAGAGGCUAACAGAAUUACAAGAGGAACAGGCUCCAGCCAGAGACAACUAUAACAACACCAGAGAUUACCAGAUGUUGAAAGGCAAACGUAAGAAUCUUACCAACAGAAACCAUGACCAUUCACCAUCAUCAGAACCCAGCACUCCCACCUCAGCCAGUCCUGGAUAUCCCAACACACAUGAACAGAAAGCAAGAUUCAGAUUAAAAGUCAUAUCUCAUGAUGCUAGUAGAGGACCUUAAGAAGGGCAUUAAUAACUCAAAGAAAUACAGGAGAACCCUGCUAAACAGGUAGAAGUCCUUAAAGAAUUACAGGAAAACACUGCUAAACAGGUAGAAGUCCUUAAAGAGGAAACCAAAAAAAUCCCUUAAAGAAUUACAGGAAAACACAACCAAACAGGUGAUAGAAUUGAACAAAACCAUCCAAGACCUAAAAACGGAAGUAGAAACAAUAAAGAAAACCCAAAGUGGGACGACUCUGGAGGUAGAAACCCUAGGAAAGAAAUCAGGAACCAAACAUGUGAGCAUCAGCAACAGAAUACAAGAGAUGGAAGAGAGAAUCUCAGGUGCAGAAGAUUCCAUAGAGAACAUNNNNNNNNNNNNNNNNNNNNNNNNNNNNNNNNNNNNNNNNNNNNNNNNNNNNNNNNNNNNNNNNNNNCAACAUUUUGCUGCUGACAGGAAANNNNNNNNNNNNNNNNNNNNNNNNNNNNNNNNNNNNNNNNNNNNNNNNNAGAGCUCCCUGGGACUAAACCACCAAUCAAAGAAAACACAUGGUGGGACUCCUGUCUCUAGCUGCAUAUGUAGCAGAGGAUGGACUAGUUGACCAUCAAUGAGAGGAGAGGCCCUUGGUGUUGUGAAGGUUCUAUGCCACAGUAUAGGGGAAUGCCAGGGCCAGGAAGGAGGAGUGGGUGGGUUGGGGAGCAGGGAGAGUGGGGGGAUAGGGAAUUUUCAGAGAGGAAACUAGGAAAGGGGAUACAUUUGAAAUGUAAAUAAAGACAAUAUCUAAUAAAAAGAAUGAUAUCAUAGAAAAGAAAUAAAUUAAAUUAAUCAAAAUCUUAAAAAAAAAGAGAGUGAUGAUUCCCAACUUAAAGGGCCAAUAUAUAUCUUCAACAAAAUUAUAGAAGAAAACUUUCCUAAUGUAAAGAACGAGAUGUUCAUAAACAUAAAAGAAGCCUACAGAACUCCAAAUAGCUUGGGCCAGAAAAGAAAUUCCUUCUGACACAUAAUAGUCAAAACACCAAAUGCACAAAACAAAGAAAGAAUAUUAAAAGCAGUCAGGGAAAAUGUUCAAGUAACAUAUAAAGGCAGACCUAUCAGAAUUACACCAGACUUCUCAUCAGAGACUAUGAAAGCUAGAAGAUCCUGGGCAGAUGUUAUACAGACCCUAAAAGAUCACAAAUGCCAGCCUGGGCUACUAUACCCAACAAAACUCUCAAUUACCAUAUAUGGAGAAAACAAGAUAUUCCACUACAAAACCAAAUUUACAAAAUUUAUUUCCACAAAUCCAGGUCUACAAAGUAUAAUAGAUGGAAAACUCCAACACAAGGAGGGAAACUACACCCUAGAAAAGCAAGUAAGUAAUCCUCUUUCAACAAACCCAAUAGAAGAUAUCCACACAAACAUAAAAAUAAUAUCAAAAGCAACAGCAAGCAACAAUCACUAUUCUUUAAUAUCUUUUAACAUCAAUGGACUCAAUUCCCCAAUAAAAAGACAUAGAUUAACAGACUGGUUACAUAAACAGGACACAGCAUUUUGAUGCAUACAAGAAAUGCACCUCAAUGUCAAAGACAGUCAUUACCUCAGAGUAAAGGGCUGGAAAGUGAUUUUCCAUGCAAAUGGUCCCAAGAAACAAGCUGGAGUAGCCAUCCUAAUAUAGAAUAAAGUCAACUUUCAACCAAAAGUUAUCAAAAAGGAUAAGGAAGGAUACUUCAUACUCAUCAAAGAAAAAUCUACCAAGAAGAACUUUAAAUUCUGAACAUCUAUGCUCCAAAUGCAAGAACACCCACAUUCAAAAAGAAACUUUACUAAAGCUCAAAGCACACAUUGUACCUCACACAAUAAUAGUGGGAUAUUUCAACACCCUACUCUCAUCAAUGGAUAGAUCAUGGAAACACAAACUAAAAAGGGACAGAGUGAAACUAACAGAAGCUAUGAAACAGAUGUAUUUAACAGAUAUCUAUUGAACAUUUCAUCAUAAAACAAGAGGAUAUACCUUUUUCUCAGCACCACAUGGCACCUUCUCCAAAACUGACCAUAUAAUUGGUCACAAAAAAAGGCCUCAACAGAUACAAAAAUAUUGAAAUAAUCCCAUGCUUCCUAUCAGAUCACCACAGACUAAGGCUGGUCUUCAAUAGCAACAAAAACAGAAAGCCCACAUACACGUGGAAGCUGACCAACACCCUACUCAAUGAUAACUUGGCCAAGGAAGAAAUAAAGAAAUUAAAGAAUUUUUAGAACUUAAUGAAAAUGAAGCCACAACAUACCCAGACUUUUGGGACACAAUGAAGGCAGUCCUAAGAGGAAAACUCAUAGCUCUGGGUGCCUCCAAAAAGAAACCAGAGAAAGCAUACACUAGCAGCUUAACAACACACCUGAAAGCUCUAGAACAAAAAGAAGCAAAUACACCCAAGAGAAGUAGAUAGCAGGAAAUAAUGAAACUCAACCAAAUAAAAACAAAAAGAUCUAUACAAAUAAUGAACAAACCAUGAGCGGUUCUUUGCGAAAAUCAAGAUAAACCCUUAGCCAGACUAACCAGAGGAUACGGAGAUAGUAUCCAAAUUAACAAAAUCAGAAAUGAAAAGGGAGACAUAACCACAGAAACCGAGGAAAUUCAAAAAAUCAUCAGAUCCUACCACAAAUCCUAUACUCAACAAAACUGGAAAACCUUGAUGAAAUGGACAAUUUUCUAGACAGAUACCAGGUACCAAUGUUAACUCAGGAUCAGAUAAACCGUCUAUACAGUCUAAUUGUAAUUGGUGGUAAUGUUGCAUAACUAAAGAUCACAAAAUAAUGGGUAAAGAUUCCAUCUAGAAAUCACAUACACAUAAAUUAGACAUUAAUUGAAAGGAAUACUAUACAAUGAAUAGUGUACCAACGAAGGAGAACUAUCUGUGAAUGGGUGAUAUAUUUCUUUUUAAAUAAAUAACUUGAAAUGAUAAGAUGAUUACAUGUAUUUGGAAGAGCCACACAUAAACUCUAAACCAGAAAACUUACAUUUUGUUACUUACAAGAGUUGGGGCUUAUGAAUAUAGAAGGGAUAUGGGAGGAAAAGGCUUCUCUCAGUAGAUUAUUUUGUGUCUUUUUUUGUUUGUUUGUUUUUUGUUUUUUGUUUUUUGUUUUUUUGUUUUUUUUUUUUUUGAGACAGGGUUCCUCUGUGGCUCUGGCUGUUCUGGAACUCACUUUGUAGACCAGGCUGGCCCCAAACUCAGAAAUCUGCCUGCCUCUGCCUCCCGAGUGCUGGGAUUAAAGGCGUAUACCACCACACCUGGCAUGUGUCAUUUUUGACUUUUGGAAAUAUAUUGAUAUUUUCAAUAUUUUAAUAACAAACAUGUGGGCAGUUUCAAAAAAACAGUGGGAUAAGAAACACAGGCUAAAGUCUCAGUAGGGUAGCCAUAGUUCUAGGUACUGGGGAAAAGAUUUGUAAGAAUGAUACCUUAGGAGUUCAAGAGCAGUCUGGAUAAUGGCAAACCUCCAUCUCUCUAAACCACUGGCUCUCAAAUUUGAUGUCAUGUCCCCUUUCACAAAGGUCACAUAUCAGAUACCCUGCAUAUCAGAUAUUUACAUUAUGAUUCAUAAUAGUAACAAAAUUACAGUUAUGAAGUAGCAACAAAAAUAAUUUUUAUGACUGGGGAGCACCACAACAUGAACAUCUAUAUUAAAGGGGCACAGCAUUAGGAAUGCUGAGAAUCACCACUCUAUAUGAACAACUAGCAAAUUCUCAUUUUUCUAAAGAAACAAGCAAAUACAGUGUUUAAAUUUUUUACCAUUGUAAAUCUGAACAAGACUGUCAAAAACAGUGAUUUCAGAAAUAUAAAUUAAAGUCACAUAACAAACUGAAGAAAAACAUUAGGGUUGUGGAGCAGAAACAGAGUACUUAUUUCAGUUGUGAGGACCCUAUUUAAUCACAAUUAUUUUUAAAAAAAACUACAAAAGUAAAAUCUGAUAAAUCUCCAUAGAAAUUGCAAGGUCUGUGGAAAUUUAACCUAAGGUUGCCUUUCCCAUACCCAGAUGAGUACAAUAGCCUUGAAGACUAGCAUCUUUUCUUCCAAUGAAGAAGCCUAACCUGAUUUGAACUCUAUUGCCAGUCUCAUUCUUUAUGUCAAAAAAUAGUGUCCUCAAGGCAUUUACUGGUUAAAGCCACUGUUAUAGCAAUCUGAUGCUCUAGCACUGGUUGUUGCACAUAAAUACACACACACAAAAAGAUAGUAAAUUCUUAGAGAUAAGAUGGUCUGUACUCUCAAAAAAAGACCAGAAGUACUCUCCUUAUCUACACUGCUGAUUGUGAGACACUAUACAGACAAGAUGGUAAAACAAAGGACAGUUGUAAAGAGUCCAAAUGUUGAAUGGAAAUCCUAAGGCAAAGCCCUUUCAGGAAAAUUUACCAGCUUGAGAUACUUAAAACAAGGCCUCUGACUAAUGGUGGCUUAAGCUGAUCAAUUAAAGCAUGCUUUAAAAACAAAGACAGUCAUUUUCUAAAGAGCAAACUUGAAGAUAAAUCAGAUACACACAUUGCCGGGAAAUGCAAACACUAUAGAAGCAAAAUUGGCACAGGCAUGGCAGAAACAAGCAAUUGCCCACGUAGAUGGGAAAAAAUUCAAAUGUAGUGUUCCUAAAAAUCAACACAUCAUCCUAAGUGGAGAGGGGGGCUAGAGAGAUUAAAGAUUUGUAAAUAGUAAUGAUCACUGAGAGAACCUAAAUACUAGUUUUAGUAGGUCAAGAUUUCAAAGUAUAAAUAUUCUCACACUAAAAUAAGCCUUGUUUUAAAGAAUAAAAGUAAAACAUUGUGACAAUAACUCAUCAGAUGAAAUGUUAAUAAAGAGAUAUAUUAUAAAGUUGUCAGUACAAAUUACAAUAACUUAAAUGAAAACCUUACUUGUAGAGCCAGAUUGCAAGAUAAGCUGGGAGCAGAGAAAAAGAAUCAGUGAAUUUAAAUAUAGAUAUAUAAAGAUUAUUCAGUUUAAAGGACAGAAAAAAAAGAGUAAGGAAGAACAAUGAACAGAACCUCAGAGAUCUGUUAGCUACCACAAGAGUAGGUGUUACCACGAAUUUAUAUGUAAAUUGCACCAUGCAAUCCUCUGCUCCAUUGAAACAGAUAUGGUGGUAGAUGCUGAUAACCUCAGUAUUCAAGUGGUGGAAAUAAGAAGGUUUAGAAGCUCAAGGUCAUUUUCAGCUGCACAGUGAGUAGUUUAGACCACCCUGGGCUACAGGAGACCCUGUCUAUAAACAAACAAAACAAAUACCAGUGCCUGACAUUGUACUUAAUGGUGGAAGAUGAAAUGCUUUCCCUUCAAAUCAAGAAUAAGUUAACUCAGUAUAAUGGCAUACAAAUAUAAUUCCAUCUCCCCAGAGGAGGGAGAAGAAGAAGAAAGAUAAGUUAGAUGUCAUCUUGGGCUAUAUAGUUGUCUCAAAAAAUAAACCCAGCCACCCACAAUUGAGUCAAGGGGACCUGUUUUAUCACUUUUAUUAAAUAUUGUGUAGAAGUUCUGAUCAGUUAUACAAGGAAAAGAAACAAGUCUGGAAAAAAGUAAAAUUAAAUUUCUAUAUUUAACCAAAAUCCCAAGAUUGUAAAAUAUAAAGCUCAAUCAUAUUUCUAUGUACCAUGAGGGACUAAUGAAAUGAAGAAAACAAUUCAUUUUAUAAUGUAAAAAUGAAUAAAUCACAGGUAUGAAUGUACUUAAUGCCACAAAAAUACAUUUAAAAUUAUUAACUUAUAAAUUAUGUUCUUUUUUUUUUUACAAAACUAAAAGGAACAAAAUUAAUCGAUCUAUUUUUUAAAGUAUACAAACUAUACUCUAUGAAUGACAGGAUACCACUGAAAGUCUAGAUCUAAAUAAAUUGAUAUAUAGCUUGUGUUUAUGAACUGGAAAACUUGAAGUUAAGAUACAUAUGUUCUUCAAGAUGAUGUAGAGACCUGAUCCUUACCAAAAUAUCAGGUGUCUUUUCUAGAAAAUAACAAGCAAUGUUUAAAAUUAUGUAAGACCCAAAUGACCUACAAUAGUUAAAGCAAUCUCCCAAAUCAGUCAAGUUAAAGGGUUCAUACUUUUCAAUAUAUAGAUUUACUAUAAAAUAACAAGGCACUAUGUAAGCAUCACAUCAAACAGACAUACAUAAGAGGGGAUAGAAUUAAUAGUCUAUUAAAUAGUUUAUUAAAUACAGAACCAGAUAGCUAUGGUAAAUGGACUUUUAAUAAAGGUGCCACAGAAAUAAAUGAGGGAAUGAACAGUGUUUUGGAUGGAUUUUUCUUCAACAGCAUGUUAUAUAUGUAAGGGAAAUAAAGUUGAAUGGUUCCCUGCCACUAUAUGUAAAAGCUUAAAAUCAAUCAAAGACUUAAAAAUAGCAAUUAAAUCUUGCAGAAUUCUUACAAAAAAACAUAGAGUCAAAUCUUUGUAACCAAAUGUUUGACGAAAGGUGUUUUGUUUUGCUAUUUUUUUUAUAUAAACCGAAAGUAAAAUAAAGAGCUGAUUCACUGGACUUUAUUAAAAAUUUUUAAAAAUUUAUGCUUGGGGGUAUACUACAAAGAAAGUGGAAGCUGUAGAGAUGGCUCAGCGGUUAAGAAUAUUGGCUGCUCUUCCAGAGGACCAUGGUUGAAUUACUAACACCUAUAUGGCAGCUAAAAUAACUUCAGUUCCAGGGGACCCAAUAACCUUACAAAGAUAUAUAUGCAAGCAAAACAUUAAUACACAUAAAAAGGAAUUAUCAAAAAAUUUAAAGAAAGUAAGAUGGCAAUACAUAGGUGUGAGAAAAUACUCAAAAAUUGUUUGUUGAUAGAAUAUUUGUAGCAGGAUAAAUAUGAUAUAUAUCAAUAUACACACAUAUAUACACACAUAAUUCAAUAUAUACAACACUCAGAACUCGUUGCAAUUCACACACACACACACACACACACACACACACAAUCCCAAUUUAAAAAAUGAAGAAUCUAUGGCCUGUGAACCUUUAAUCUUAGCACUUCAGAGGCAGACAAGAAGAUCUCUAUGAAUUAAAAAAUAGCUCCAGUAAAGACCAUGUCAAUAGAAUGAGAUAGAUAGCUAUAGAGGGGGCAAAAAACUGAGAAAUCAUAUACUUGACUUAGGCUCUGUAUUCAGAACACAAGAAGAACUUCUUAAAACUUAACAUAAAAGGAAGUUCAGUUGAAAAAUUAGUAAACAAUUUAAAUAAACAGUUCACUGAAUGGAAGAAUGUGGAAAAAAUGAUUCAUUAUUAUUAUCCAUUGGCAAAAUACAAAUUUAAACCACAAUAAAACAUUACUGUGCCAGGCAUGGUAGCAUAUGCCUUUAAUCCCAGCACUCUCCUACACAAAGAAACCCUCUCUCAAAAAACCAAAAAAGAAAAUUUACUGCAUGUUUACCAGAAUUGGUAAAAUGAAAAAUACUGUCAAUAUUAAAUGAUCUAUAGUAAUUCCAAAUUAGGAAUAACUUAGAUGUCUGUGGAUGAGUGAGUGGUUAAAAAUGUGGUUUAUACAUACCAUGAAAUUCUACCCAGCAACAAGUCUGAAUUAACUACUGAUAUAUAAAACAACUUGGAUGAACAUCUAGAGAAUUAUGGUAAAUUCUAAAAAUGGUCAAAUUUCAAAAGAUGUGUUUGAUUCUAUUUAUAUAGCAAUCUCAAAAAAGCAGAUCUAUAGAAUCAAGAACAGAUUAGUGAUUACUGGGAAUUAAGGGAUGGUAGGAGGGAAGACGGUGUGGCUAUAAAAGGACAAACAGGGAUCUUUGUGGUAACAAAUAAUAUUCUGUAUCAUUGAACCAGUGUUUCCAUCCUCCUUAAAUUGCACUACAGUUUUGUUACUACUGGGAAAACUAUAUAUGAGUUUUUCAAACUAUAGAUGAUCUCUUUGCAUUAUUUAUUACAAAUGAAUGUGAAUUUCUAAAAUUAGAUUAAAAGCUUGAAUUUUAGAAGUAUGCAAAAGGAAACCAGUAAGAAAGUGGGCAAAGGGGCUUUCUGCUGAGCUUAAUGACUUGAGUUUGAUCCCCAAGACUCAUAUUGUAGAGGGAGAAAAGAAACUCCCACAAGUUUUCCUCCAUUCUCCAUGCAUGUAUUGUGGUAUGAGUGUGCCAUCUCCUUCCCAUAUCUGUGAAAAAAUACAACUGUGCAAAGGAUCUAAAUACAUAUACCAGUAAAGAAGACAUGUAACUGACCAAUAAACACAUACAAAAAUAUUCAAUACCAUUUAUAAAGCACAUCAGGACUGAAAUCAGAUAACAAAAUACUAGGUAGACUUUUUUUUCUCAGCACUUUUUGGAUGGAGUAUUAUAGAUGGAAAAUCAUUUUUGCAGCUAC
ensembl:antisense Kcnq1ot1 KCNQ1 overlapping transcript 1